rnacentral:lncRNA from 1 species
UUUCAAAAUUUGGAUCAAAUAAAUGGCCAUAAGAUGGUUUUUUAAAGUUGUUGUAUCACAUUACUAUACAACGGUUGCAUGGAAUCAUUGCCCAAUAGGAGCAAUGAUCCAAUACACAUUAUCUGGAUCAUCCAUUUUUAAGAUUUUCAUCCAUUUAUAGAUGUGUUUUAUUUGAAUCAUAUUUGGACUUUAAACUUUUCUAAUUAGAGAUAAAAAUAGAUUAUUGGGCCAUUCGAAGAAUUUUCGAUGUGAAAAUUAUAUCUCAUGAGAAAGUUUGGACAUGCACCCUACUUUGAUUGUUUAAAGUUUCAACAUUAUACAAACUACACCCGAAAAUAAAAUAUCAACACAAUAUGCCCUCUAGAAAGUGGAACUUGGGCCUAAAAUGAUAGAAAAGACUAAAGUAGAAUUUUUCAUCUUUCUAAGUAGCAAGUACUAACAUGCUUAUCAUUAAGAGAAAACGAUCUCUACCCCCCUCCCCAAAAUUCCAUCUCUAUUAGCCCAUUGAGUGACCAAAUCCCUUGUACCCUUCAAUAGAAAAUUUUGAGACCUUUAACCCCUCAAUUAUGUUUUUUUCUGUCCGUUUUACAAAUUUGAUAUAUUUUUUUUAUACAAAAUGCUAAACCCAUACAUUAGUCAUCUAUAUUUUUUUUGUGUGACUUAUAUACAAAUUGUAUUGAUGAUAAUAAUGAUGAUGAUAAUUAUUAUUAUACUAAUGAUAAUAACAACAACAAUAUAUUAAUUGUUAAAUAAUUUAUCUUUUAUAGGUAUUUGAUAAAAUUAUUUAAUAAAUGAAUAGAUAAUAAUAAUAAUUUAUUAACAAUAAUAAUUAAGAUAUUGAUUAAUCAUUUUUCAAGUUUAAAAGAUCUUGAUGCAAUUGUAAAAUAGGUUAUAAUAUUAAAGAAAAUAAAAAUCUAAAUUUGUAGAGUGGGGUCUACAGAGGUAAGAUUGGUUAUGGGCAAGAGAAGAGAAAGUGAAUGGAGUUGACUAACGGAUGGGGAUGGUAUUUUGUAAUUAAAAAAAAAGUUUGAAAGAUAAAAAAAAACAAAAAAUAAUAUAUAAAUGAAGGUCAACGGUCCUAAAAUUUUAAAUUUAAAAGGGCACAUAAGACGAACCUAAAAAAACUAAUAGGGUCAUUUUCUCUAUUAUUUAACAGCCUGUUUUAACAUUUUUCUUGGCCAUUCUUCUCGGGGGAAGGGAAACACCACGGCCGUCUCUCUCUCUACACCACACCAAGCCAAAAAAAUAACACACAUACUGUCUUCUCUCUCUCUCUCUCUCUCUAGUACACAUACAGCACCAAAUGGGUAAGCAAACAAGUAUAGAAGACAACCAACACCAUGGAAUAAUUUGUCUCCACAUGAACAUUUAAAUAAUUGCAAUCCAACCAACAAUACAAACAAUAAACAUUUAACACUGCUAAAGAAAUAUCUUCCAUGGACUUUUGAAUCCUUACAAAUCAUGUUGCAAUGCAUUAAUCAUCUCUAGGAGACGACCCCAUCCACCUAACCACAACCCCAAUUCUAAAACAAACCAUUAGUUAACAAUAUAUAAAAAAAAAAAGGAAAAAAUUUAUAUAAGGUUAAAAUGUUGUUUUAAUGUUGAAAAAUCUUCCAAUCGAUCAUCUUGACAUUGAGAUGUAUAAAUAUGAAAAAAAGAAGAAGAUUUUGAGUCCCAAAAAUAGUGCAUCUUGCAGCACAUUAUCUAGACCGUUCAUUUUCAAAAAAUUUAUAUAUUUAUAGAUAUACUUGAUUUUAACUAUUUUUUAACUUUUAAAUUUUAUAAUUAGAUAUAGAAAUAGAUAUUCAAAUAAUCCUAAGAAUUUUUUAUACCAAAAUUAUAUGAUAAAAUUUGGAGGUUCGCCAUAAUUGGGUUGUUUAAGGUUGCAUCCUUAUAGAAACCACACCCAAAAGUUUUUCAACCUUCUCUAUCUCUCACAGCCCAUCAACCACACCUAACCCCAAUUCAAAAACAUACCAAUAAAUAAGAAAAGGGUUUUUAUGAGUCAGCGAACUCAUAUGUACAUGUGCGCCUACCACUAUAUGUGUACCAAGCAUGAAUCUUUGAGAACAAUGAAGGGAUUCCAUUGUCGUCUCCCACCAAUCUAGAUUUCAACUACAAAGAUGCUGGUUUUGGCCAUGGCCUUGUCACUCCUUCCUCUCACUCUAUUCUUCCCUCCCUUGAGGCAGUUUACAUUGCUGGUUUCUAGUAUUCAGCUACUUGUGCACGAUCUCAUGGACUGUGUCCAAGGUUCAUUAUCAUCCCGCGGGAUUCCUUAACUUGAGGCUUUGCUCUGCAACUUUUGGCCCUCGAAAACAAUGUUUCCCUCAUCUGAAAUCUCAAAGGAGAACUUUCUCCGCAAACGAAGAAUCGGUAAGCUCUGAGGCUUUCUCCCAGUGAAAGGUUAGAGAGAGAGGAAGAGCAGUUCUGGUUUCUUAUGUAUUCAAGGCAAAUUUAUCAAAUUAAGCAUGAUAGAUGUACAGUUUAAUAUCUUACCUAUAUCUUUUGAUUUAAUCUCAAAAUACCCAUUAAAAAACACAUGAUUUUGAGUUGAAGUAAUUGAAAAGAGUAGAAUGUUACAUAGGUCAUCUCUCGUGGAUAUUUUGAUAAAUUUCCCUACAAAGAAUCAUAAAAAUUAUAUUUUUUAAACAUGUUCUUAUAUAAAUCUGAUGUUUUUGAUGACAAGUUUAGUUAUUUUUUCUAUUUUCCUUUUUUCUAGAACUUUUGAAUUGUUUCCAACCAAAAAUAUUUUUUUUCCAAUUCCAUAUUUUGUAGAUCUUUUUCCAUCAUUUUUAAACUUUUAAUGUCGUUUUAGUUUUGUUUGCUUUUUACGUUAUUUUUUUUUUAACAAUUUUUUGUAGUUUGUUUUCCAUUGUUGAUCCGUUCGUGUGCUUCUACAUGACUUGCCAAGUCCACUCGGACUCGACUCAGUUAUUGGGCUCGGGCAAGUGGCUAGUCCUGAGCUCAAGCCGAGUUAUUGCACACUGCUCUACAGAGAUUGUUCAAUGGGAGAAAUUGAGGUAGCCAUACUCGUGUGAAAUAAAUUUCUUUCAAUCCAUUGCAAAUUAAAGGUAACCUUAAUUGAGAUUUGCACCGAAUCCUAAUAGAUCCAGAGGGGAAAUCAAGCUCAUGGAGAAAAAUGAUCCGUGUCUGUUAAAGGAUAACCAGUUGGGGUUGGAUUUCUGAUUCCCCAUAGAAGUCUCUUUCUCCUGCUACUGUGGGAGUUCAUGAGAGAAGUGGCAGAUAUUUUUUAUGUGAAUGAUGAAAAUGGAGGGUGUAGUGUGUGUGUAAGAUUUAGAGAGAGAGAGAAAGAGACCAAUGUUGGUAAUGGUUGUGUAAAGGAUAAUAUUUUCUUGAUUGUGUGGGUUUCAGUCCUUGAAUCUAAGCACGGCAAUGUAACAUUAUUGUGCCCAUUGUUUUUCGUUUUUCUCAAGAAAAAUUGUUUCAUGCGGCUGGGAUGGCAUUUCUUCAUUUGCCGUCCCGGGCAUAACAUAUCCGAUGCAUAUAUGUGGUUCAUCUAGAAAUAAUUGAAACUAACCUAAUGGUCCAAAUGUUUUCUUGAUAGAAUUGUUAUUUUUAAUUUUCAAAAUUUAUUUAUUUUUUCAUAUUCAUUAUCUUAGAGAUUACAUGUCCUUAAAAAUUAAAUCCAGAAAUCCAUUUCAAAAAUAAAUUUUUAAAAGGUAACUCAUUUCUACCUAGACAAAUAGAAACCAUGUCGUCUUCUUAAUGAGAGUGAAUGGUCUUCAUUUAAAAAAAAAACCUAAGACAAAUUAAUGACACGAGCAAAGUGACGCAAAUACUUUUUGUCAAUGUUCUAGAAAAUGACAAUUGGGAUCGGGACGCAGUAACAAAUAUCAGGCUGUUUCCCACAAAAUUGACCGAUUCCCCGUGAAAAACGAUGGGCUUUUUAUGCAACCAGGCAAUCAAUCUAGUUUUCUGUAAGUAAUUUUUUUUUCUUUUUAUUUUUUUUAAAUUUUUUAGUUCUUUAUUGACAGAUUCACACAUGGUAGAAUCUGUGGAAUUGUCGAUCCGGAUCCGUGAUUUGCUGAUCCAAGCCGCUUUCCCAUAUGACCUAUUCACCCGGCUGCUCCCGAUUUUAAUUUGAGUUACAUAAUAGAGAAAUUGCCCCCAAAACAUUGGGUGCUGAAAUUUGAAACACAAGGCUCCUAUUCUGUUAGCUUAGGAUAUCGUUUAGGGUAGCAUUGAACCAGUAGAUCGACUUUUUGAUAAAAAUAAUUGUAUACAUAGGAAAAAAAAGGCACAAAAACAUAGCAUCAUGAGACUAAUUUUGUGAUUUUUGAAAAAGAAAUGAGAGAGAACCAUUGAAAAUAGCAUAUUAGGGGUUUGCUCAUUUUCUUUUAAUCAUGGAUUUUUUAUUAAAUAAAAUCACAAGAUUUUUUAUUAAAUAAGUUUUUGAUGGGCACCUUAGUUCUACAGUAUAAGGUUGAUCUUUUAUAUAUUUUUUUUUCUAUUUAUUUAACCUCUUGCAUAUCCACAUUUUUACGACCCUAGCAAAUAUUCCCAUGAAAACAAUUAAAAAAAGAACUCAAAAAAUUGUUUUAUGAGUAAAGAGAAGACGGGUUCAUGUUAGGUGUCCAUUAGGUGCACUGUUACAUCAAGGGAUACAUGUGCUCAACAACUUCUCUUUUUGUUUUCUAAGUUUUUCAUGUAGCACUUGUAGAAAUAUACCUAAAAUUUGGGUCAAACAAAUUCAGUUCAGGGGAUAUUGUACUAAGGGUAGGUGGCAAUGGACCCGGACUUGAUGACCCGACCCGACCCGACCAAGGUCCGGGUAUGGGUUCAAAAAUUGAACUCGGUGGGUCGAGUUCGGGUCCAGGUCUGGGUUCAUGUGGAUCCGACCUGGACCCAACUCGAAUAGUGUUAUUAUUUAAAUAUUAUUUAAUAUAUAAUAUUUUAUUAAUAUUUAAAUAAAUAUAAUUAUAUAUUUUAGUUAUAAAAUUUAAAUAAUACAUAUAUAUAUUUAAUAUAAUAUUUAUAUAUAUUUUUUACUUUUUAGGUCGGGUCUGGGUAUGAUAACUUCAGGUCCAGUCAGGUCCCGGUCCGGACCCAUUGCCACCCCUAAUCGCAGUGUGUUAGCCACCUAUUUCUCCCUCAUUCCCCGCUCUUAGCCAACCUUCUCUCUCCGACUUGCUGGGGAUGCAGAUUGCAUUGUUGAAAUAAUUUGCUUUUCCUUAUUUUGCCCAAAGCAAAGACAUGAGUAUCUUUGCUUGUGUAGGGUAGAUCAAAUUGUUGAAAUGCCUCCACUUGUCCAGGUUUUUCACUCCGAAUAACGGCAAUUUAUAAUUUUAAAAAUAUUUUUUAAUUAGGUAAAUAAAAAUCAAAACAUAAAUUAAUUGAGAUCUUCUUACGCCAAUAUGACCCCUUUUAUAAUAUUUUCCCGUAUUUUCACUAUGGGAAAAGUUUCUAUAGAACUUAGGCUCUGAACAAUCAAAUUAGAGCUUAUUUCAAAAAUUUUAUUAGAAAAUAUUGUUUUGAUACUUAAAUAUCCUCAAAUCGAUCAUCUCGACAUCAAGAUGCAUAGGCAUGAGAAAAAAAUGUAAUUCAAGUUUUGGGAAGAGUGCAUCUUGUAACGUAUUUUUGGACCGUCAAUUUUCAAGAUUUUCAAGCUUUCAUAGAUAUGCUCAAUAUACACUAUUUUUUCAGCUUUAAAUUUUAUAACUAAAAGUGAAAAUAUAAUUUAAAGCUAUCACAAAACUUUCCAUUAUUGAAACCAUAUUUCUCAACAUUAUUUGAAGGUGGGCUCUAAUUUGAUCAUUUAGAGCGUCGGCUCUAUACAAACUGCAACUUAUUGCCAUUAGGAGGUGAUUGUUGGGUGUGACAAUUAGUAAGCUCUAUACAAACCGCAACUUAUUGCCAUUAGGAGGUGAUUGUUGGGUGUGACAAUUAAUGAGGAGAUAGUUAAAUCAUAACCACCUAAUGAAGAGUCACAUCUCUCCACUCAAAGGUCACUUCUUAAACUCUAUAGUUGUUUUCUCCUCACCCCUAUCCCCUCCGCCAAAAGAAAAAAAAAUAAAAUUAGUCCAUUAAAUAUUUAAAUAGGCGAAAUAACAUAAAAAAAAAUUCUAUUAUCAGGUAUCUUGAAGACGAGCUUGCCUACUACAUCUUUAUGCACACUGAAUUUAAUAAACAGGAUGUAAAUAUUGUUUCGAGAUAGCGUAAUAGCAUACCUAAAACUAAAAAAAGUCCAUCUUCCUUUGUGAUUUUCAAAGCCUCCACAACCCAAAAAAUGUCAACUCCUUUUUCACCCUCAUUCACUGUUUUAAAGAUUUAGUUCAUCAUUAAUGUAGUGAAGAUACCAAUAGUUUUUGUAUUACAACUCUAAAAAGCUGCAAGGUGCCUCUCCCUUGAGAAAUAUCCUUAGCCAAAAAAAACAUAAAUACCUAGGUUAGUCCACCAUUUAUUCCUUCCAGGCACUAAUGCACUAGAAAUGAGCUCCACCAGAAAAUACAAAAGAUAUGGAAUCAUCCCUCAUUAUAAAGAAUGUGACAUGCAACAUAUGGACACAACUAAAAACAACACCAAUCCUCUAUAAUAAUCAAGAAAAUGAUCUUAUGCACCUCUCUCUCCCUCUCUCUCGCUCUCUCCCUCUACCUCUCACCUACUCAGAGAGGCUUCCAUGGCUUCAUCAGAGAAAGCAGUGAAGAUGCUUGGCACUUGGCCUAGCCCCUUCUGCUUAAGAGUAGAACUUGCUUUAAAGCUCAAGGGCAUAAGCUAUGAACACAUAGAAGAAGACUUGAGCAACAAGAGCCCUCUCCUUCUUCAACUGAACCCAGUUCACAAAACGGUCCCGGUUCUCAUACACAAUGGCAAGGCCAUUGCUGAAUCUCUCAUCAUCCUGGAAUACAUUCAUGAAACUUGGCCAAAACUUGCACCUCUUUUGCCUGAAAAUGCUUACAAGAAAGCCCUUGUGAGAUUUUGGGCCGACUUUUUCGAGAAAAAGGUGAGAUUUUCCGUCCAUUUUGAAUUGAGUUUUCAGUUUUGAUUUAGGCAAAAAACUUGAUUUCAGCUUUUCAAUUGAUAUGUAAAACCCAACAGUUAUGAAAAGUGGUUGUUUUUUGAUAUACAUGUGUAUAUUUUGGCUUAAUUAUAUGGACGUUUUUGGCUUUUUUAAUUUUAUUUACUGUUGUUUAGCUCAUGUUAGGUUUGGUGAUAGUCAAAUUCACUGCAUUAAGUUUUUUUUAAAAAAAUUAAGAGUAUUAUAGUAAAAAGAAGACGCUUUUUUGAAUAAUAAAAAAGAUGCUUGAUAAUCUUUAGAAAAGGGGUUCAAAGAAACUAUAAUACAUAUCUUCAUUUUUUAAGGGUCACCCCUUUUGGGUUGUGGGAAAGGAACUCUAAGAAGAGAUGGGUCUAGAAUAGAGAGAGAUGGCUUCUUGUAGAUCUAGGAGAGGCAGUAUUUUUAUGGGAUUUUGGAUUGUUUAAGAUUCUACUUCUAGAGAGAUAGUCUCUCGGUUGUUCUCAAGGUAUUUUUUCUAGUUGUGGUAUAAUGGUUUGGAAAAAUGAGGUUGAUGGACGGUAUUGCUCGGUCGGGAAAGUGGGUUUAGAAAGAAAGAUCGGUAAGGUUUUUAUCAAUAUUUAGAGAGAUGUAUUAUCUCUUGUAACUAAAAAAUUGUAAUUUUCAUGACAGUGGAAUCCUAUUUGUAGAGACGGUAGACGUAGCGCUGUAGGGUGAACUACAUAAAUUGUGUGCCGCUGUAGUGUGAUUUUAGUUUUUGCAUUGUUUUUUGCACUCUAUUUAUAAUUAUAUUAAUUUAUUUUACGUUUAACUAAUUGUGUACAUAAUCUUGGAUGGGAUCCCAGUAUUUGGGUUCCCGGUUUUGCAAGCGAGCGGUUCCCAAAAACCCUACAGUUCAGUUAGCUGAUAAUCACUAUGUUUCUUGGAUCAUAUUUUGAAUUAUUCAGUAUUUUGGACUAAAAUUAUGGACGUUUUUGGCUUGAUCUUCUGGUUUUCUCCAUUUAUUUUGGCUCAGCAUAGAAUUGCAGAGCUUCUGGUUUUCUCCAUUUAUUUUUGGCUUUUAUCUUUUGAUUUCUUGCAUUGUCGUUUGGAUCAGGUAACAGAGACUUUCAGAGCUGCUGUUUUGAAAUCAGGCAAAGAGCAAGAUAUGGCAGUGUUAUCGUUUACAGAGAACCUCAAGGUGUUUGAACAUGGUAUUCAAAAAGAUUUCGAAGGCGAGAACCCAUUCUUCAAUGGAGAAAGCCCUGGUUUCUUGGGAAUUUUAGUGGGUUCUCUGUCUACCUGGAUCAAAGUCAUGGAAGAGUUCCGUGGAGAAAGACUGGUGGAAACAGAGAAGACCCCUCUGUUUUGUUCAUGGCUAUGUGCUUUCAAUGAAGUUGGGUUAGUAAGAGAGACCUCACUUGAACAUGGGAGGCUGCUGUCUUAUGUGAAAGCCUUGAGAGAGAAAAUCUUCGGAUUGCCAAACAUGAGAAAAAUCUAAUGUUUUUGGUGGUGCUUCUUUACAAACAGUUGGGUUGUGAAAUAAAUGGCAUUUGGAAGUCCGGGUUGCUCCCAUACAAAUUUGGAAUUCAUCUUUGUUUUAUGGAAAAUUUAUGAAAUUACUCAUAAGAGAUAAAUCAAUAGUUGUUUUAUGGAAAUUUUUUUUAAUUAUUCAUAAGAUAAACAAUUUAACACUUUGCCUAUAUCAUUUGAUUUUAAUUUCAAAAUACCUGUAAAAGAUGUAUGAUCUUGAGUUGGAAAUUUUUUUUUGUUAAUUCAAAAAAUUUUGUUUUGACUUUUUCUAUAUCAAUGUGAUAGGAAUAUUAUAGGACAAAUUUGGGGAAACGAUGAGAGAAAGAAUAAAAGUUUUUUGACUUUGGGUGAAAAAAAAAAACAUGAAAUUCGGUCUCUCAAUUUCUUGCAUUUUGCUGUUCGAUACAAAAUAUCAAAUUGUAUGCAUACAAAAAUGGCUCUCAAAAAGUACAUUUCUACACUAAUUCCGUGAUCUUUUUAUGGAAGAAAUAGGAGAGAAUAAUUGAAAAUGGCGAUUAGUGUUUGGUUCGAAAUUAUUAUUAAAAAGAAGAUAUUUUUAUUAAAAAAUAGGAAGAUUUUCCCCACUGAUCUCAAGCCAACUCGUGUUGGCUAUCUCUUUUGUGCCCUGUUAAAUCUAAGGAUAUUGGUGCUCGAAACACACACAUUAUCUCUCUCUCCUUUUGGGAAGUGGUUCACCUAGUGCUUUAGAAAUGGGCGAGGUUUAUAUAAAGUGUCAUCCUUAAACAAUCACGAUAAGGGGCACCUCAAAAUCUCGUCACAAGAUGUAUUUUCAUUGUUGAAAUUCUCAUUACGACCCAAGGGUAUAUUUUGUUGGGUUUGGUGGUACGCACAUAUGGAAAUCUCAUAUUUUGUGGGAUUGAUUGAGAUAUUCUCAUGUGGGAUCCAGAUAUUUCUAAGAUUGAGAUUGAUAGUAAUUUUUCAGGAAAUAGAAAUCUAAAAAGAUUAGGACUCUUGGAUAUAUAUCUUAAUUUUUUGAUAUAUAUGUAAGAUCUAUAAAAAGUUUUCUAUUUAGUAUGGAUUCUUAACUUUAUAACAUAGAAUGAAAGGGCAGAUAAUUCGUGUGCCUAUUUGGAUCACCAUAUGGAAAUGGUGGUUCCUCUGGAGAAAGAGGGAGGUAAAGUCUCUUUUAAACUCUCAAUCUCUUUUGGUGCCUCUUUUAGAAUCCCGAAGAUUGAGAGACUUGUUUGUUUUUUUGUAGAGAAUUGGUUACCAAAGAUAUUUUGGGUUGUUCCCUUUUUAGUAAGAAAGAAAGUAAUUUUCUCGUUGCUCUCGUCUCUAUUUGGUCUAGUGUUGUUGGUAAUUGUUGCCAGAAGUAAAGAGAAGGAAUGGAGAGUUGUUUAAAAUUUAUAGACUUGAGAUUUUUGUCGAUUCAAAAUCUUUGAUGUAACUUUUCUUGGUAUAUUAGAUUUCAGUUUGUCGUGCCCGUGGAUGUAGCCCUCUUGGGUGAAGCAGGUAAAUCUUUGUGUAUUGUUGUGGUGUGUAUUUCAUAUUUUAUUCUCAUACUUUAUUUGCCAAAAAUCAACCCAACAAGGUUUAGAGUUUCCGCGCACAACAAGUGGUAUCAAAGCAGAAAAAGUGGUAUCAGAGCAUAACAUAUUUCGCCACUUUUUUUUAAAUCUUAAAAAUAGAUGUUGUAGAUAAUGUGUCACAAAGAUGUACUAUUUUUAAGCUUUAAAAUUCAUUUUUCUUUCAUACCCAUACAUAUUGAGAUCAUGAUGAUUAAGUGGAGAAUUUUCUAGCAGCAAAACAACAUUCUUCGAUGGUUUUUGAGGUGCACCUUACUUCUCUAUAAGAUUGACACCUUAUGUAAACUUUUUCCUUUGGAAAUACACCCAAAAUCUUGGUCAAAUUCAAUUCUAUGAAGUGUUUAAAAAAUCAUUUGUCCUACUCUGUACUUUCCCUAACCUGUUCGAUUGGAAGGUUAGCGAUUCUGAAGCAUAAUACUUCGAAAUUAAAACUAUUGACCGUCUUCACCUGUUGAUUAUUUUUCCAUUUUUUAGUUGUAAUACUGAGACCAUUCAUUUUUUUUCAAUCUUUUCAUUUUUAUUUUCUCUCAUUUUUUUACAUUUAUCAUUGGCCUAUCGGGUUAGGGGUUUGCAAAACCAUGAACUCAAACACUGAAAACUUAAUCAAAAAAGCAAAUUGCAAUUAGGUGACGCAUCUAACAUCAACACAAUGGACUUAACCAAUUAUGUGUCCAAAAUAAUCUUCAUCAUUACCAACACAACCAAGCAUAGAGAGAUAACAAGACAAUUAUUGCUCAAUGCUUUUGCUGGUCUAUAUGACAUUUUCUCGCAUGGUUUUGCUGGUCUAUAUGACAUUUUCUCACAUGGUUGAUGAUAAAUGCUUUAGUCCACUGGAUGAGGUUUCUAUUAGCCUAAGAUUUAUGAAAACACAGUAAAGCUUCCCUUCAAAUGCUCGUUUAGAAGGCACUUUCGACAACGAAAAUCUCUAUGAUGGCUCUAAAAUCUAUUUUCAAUACAGAUAAUGAAUUUUGAAACUAAAAAAACGGUACAGAUCUUGUGAAUUUAUAAACACUUAUUUCUAAGAUUCAAAAUGUUUUUUUUUCAUAUUCUUAUAUCUCAAUGUCGAGAAGAUCAAUUAGAGAGUUUUUCAACAUUAAAAUAAUCUUUUUCGAUGGAUUUUAACAUGCAUCUUUAAUUCUAUAUUUUAAGGUUAAACUUUAUAUAAUUUUUCCUUAUAAAAAACAUGGCCGAUUUCUGCUCAACUAUAGCAUCUCACGUGUCUCAACUCUCAACAGAAGUAUCCAUGUCUCAUAUUGCAGUUCACAAACUUUUAGUUCUCUAUAGUAAAAAUAUGAAAAAAUAUCAUAGAAGGGAUCAUAUUUUAUGUUUUGCUUUUUAGGAGAAAAAAGAAAAGGUAUACUUCCCUCUCUAAACUUAUUAUCCCAAAGAACCCUAACCCCUUGGUCCUAUAAGAAGCUCAUAGAAUCCUUUAAGUUAUACAAAAAAUAACAUUUAACCCCUUUUAACUUUUUUUUGUUGUCCAAAUUACAGAAUUUAUAUAUAUUUUUUUAUUUUUCUUUGAAUAAGCUCAUCAUAAAAAUUAAGUUUGUGAUGCAUCUUUUUACUUACUUGUGAGGUCACAAGAUGAUAGAGAGGGAUAAAUAUUUAGAGAAGGUUGCUAAAGAGAGAGAGAGAGGGAUGAAGAGGUCCACAGGUGAGGAAGAAAGUGAAAGACCAGUACAGCUUUUCCAAGACUUAGAUAACAUAAUGAUUAAGAAAACAAAAAAAGAUAAAUUAUGUAAUUUAGACAAUAAAAAAUAUAAAAUGAAUUCAAUGUAUUUUUUUGUUUAACUUGGGCUCCAUGGUAUAUUUAUAAGAUCAAGAGAUUAUUUGGGAUUAUAGUUUUAAAGAAGGGAUUUAUGUAUUUUUCUCUUAUUUUUAUUUCACUCAUUUACCUUUUUUAAAUAAUAAUCUCUAAAAUGAUGUAACCCCAUUUAUUGAAAUUGGGCUGCAACCUUUUGCCCCUUCAUCUAAACAGAAGGUGCAUAUUUUUCUACUCAUUAGAUAUCAAAUUGGACGGCUUGAGGUGAAUCACGAAGUUCGAUAUUUUUUUUUUGGAACUGUGUGUUUGUUCAAUGACACUCUUACAACCACUUAUUUUAAAAUUUAAGGGAUAAGAAUGAUUGUGAUCUCCAUAUACAAAAGAUAAAGGGUGCGAUUUGAAUAGAGACGAGGCUCUAAACAAUCAAAUUAGAGCCCACUUUCAAAUAGUGUUGAGAAAUGUGAUUUCGGUAUUAGAAAUAUUUGUGAUGGCUUUGAAAUAUAUUUUCAUCUUUAAUCAUAAAAUUUAAAGUUUCAAAAAUAAUGUAGAUCCAACCAAUCUAUGAGUACUUGAAAAUCUUAAAAAUUGACAAUACUAAAAUGCAUUACAAGAUGCACUAUUUUCAAAACUUCAAAUCCAUUUUUUUCUUAACUUCAAAUCCAUUUUUUUCUUAUGUCCAUGCAUCUUGACGUCGAGAUGUUCAAUUUGAAGAUAUUUAGGCAUCAAAACAACCUCUUCUAGUGAAAUUUUUGAGGUAGGCUCUAAUUUGAUUGUUUAGAGCCUAGGCUCUAUAAAAACUUGUCCCAAAGAUAAAUGGUUUUUUUGAUGUUUUUUCUUCUAAAUUAUUUCUAAAAUACCCCCCAUGGAAUUUUUUCAAAUUCCUUUUUCCACUACUUUUAAGCUCAUUUAGAUGUGGUUUGUUUAGUUUUACUUCACACAUUUUUCUUAUUUUUUGGAUUUUUGUAUUUUUUUGUCAACUCUUUGUUUUCUUUUUUUUUUUUGGUUAUCGGCACAUAUACACCUUAGGCCACUUAGUUGGGGCAAAAUAUAGAAGAACGAAUUAUUUCAACAAUACAAAAUUGUGUUUUCAAAGCUAGAAGGAGAGAGAAGGUUGGCUAAGAGAGAGGAGUCAUAGAGGAAUGGCUAAGACAGAGGACUGAGAGAGAAAUAGGUAUCUAAGAGAGAGAUGGUGGCAGGGCCGGCAACUGGUCGGGCUUUUCCCGGCCUGAGUCCCUAAAAGGUUGGUGCAAGAAAGGACAAGGUCAGAGGGCCCUGGCCCAGGCCCAGGCCCUGAUUUUUCCGGCCCUAGUUUUUCUGUAGCCAAGAAUGGACCGCCGAGCCUAUUGCCAGGCCCAAAAUAAUGCACUGGAAAUGAACUCCUCCACUAAAUACAAAAGAUAUGGAAUCACCCCUCAUGUUUAAGAUUGUAAUAUAUGGACAAACUCAAACCAGCACCAGUCCCCUAUAAUAAUCACGAAAUUGAUCACUUUCGCUCUCUCUUAAAUCAAACAAGCGUCCAUGGCUUCAUCAGAGGAAGGAGUGCUGCUUAAGAGUAGAACUUGCUCUAAACUAUGAAUACAUAGAAGAAGACUUGAGCAACAAGAGCCCUCUUCUUCUUCAACUGAACACAACUCACAAAAGCGUCCCUGUUCUCGUGCACAACGGCAAGGCCAUUGCCGAAUCUCUCAUCAUCCUUGAAUACAUUCAUGAAACUUGGACAAAAAAUGCACCUCUUUUGCCUGAAAACGCUUACAAGGAAGCCCUUGUGAGAUUUUGGGCCAACCUUUUCUAGAAAAAGGUGAGAUUUUCCGUCCAUUUUGAAUUGGGUAUUGAUAUAGGCAAAAACUUAACCUUAUUUCAACUUCUAAAUCGAUAUCUGUAAAACCCAACCCUUUUAAAAGGUAGUUUUAUGGGAUAUAUGUGCAUAUUUUGGCUUAAUUCUACGGGCUUUUGAUCUUCUGGUUUUCUUCAUUGAUUAUGGAGAUUUUUCGUAAAUAUAUGAUUCUUUUGGGUUUUACCUUUUGAUUCUCAAGUAUAGUUGUUUGGAUCAGGUAACAGAGACUUUCAGAGCUAUUGUUUGGAAUUCAGGCAAAGAGCAAGAUAUGGCAGUGUUAGCGUUUACAGAGAACCUCAAGCUGUUUGAAAAUGGUGUUCGAAAGGAAUUCGAACGCGAGAACCCAUUCUUCAAUGAAGAAAGCCCUGGUCUUUUGGGAUUUUUAGUGGGUUCUCUUUCUUGCUGGAUCAAACUCUUAGAAGAGAUCUUUGAAGAAAGAUUGGUGGAAACAGAGAAGACCCCUCAUUUUUGUUCAUGGCUAUGUGCUUUAAAUAAAGUUGGGGUAGUGAAAGAGAGUUCAUUUGAACAUGGGAAACUGCUGGCUUAUGCCAAAGCCUUGAGAGAGAAAAUCUUUGGAACGCCAAACAUGGGGCCUAACGAUUGAUUGAGCGUAGAGAGGUUUUUGGCAGUGAUUUUCUUUUUCUUUUUUUUCUCAUUCUCAAAAAAAAAAAAGAAAAAGGCCUUGUCCAGUUUGCUCUCUUACAAAAGUAGAAUCAAUCGAUGGAAAAUUUCUGAUAGUAGUCAUGAGAGAUGAAUCAAAAGAAGUUUUAUACGCAAUUAAUAAAAUCCCUCAAUGAGAGCAAAACUAUUUAACCCUUUAUUUAUGUUAUUUAAUUUAAUUUCAAAAUACCCAUAAAAAAACACAAGGUUUAUUAAUGGGCAAAAUGUGAAAGUAGUUAAUCUCUUGUGGGUAUUUUAGGUAAAUUUCUUUUAUUUUUUAGAGUAAAUAUUACCGAAUGUAAAACAACUCUUCGUAAUUAGUAUUAUCAGGAUGGAUGUGUUAUCAGGAUCAGAUCGGCUAUGAAUUGACAUAGGGGGUUUAGUCUAGUCAAAAUUUGGUUGAAUUGUAGGUCAAUCUGUUUGGAUUGGAUUUUGAAAAAAUAAAGAAAAUAGAUUGUAUACAAUGCGAUCAUUUAUCUUUGGUAUAGAGAGGUCACAAUUACUUAUCACCAUUCAAUAUAAAAUCUGAUAGCUUAUACAACAUCCAAUUACAUGCUCAACAUAUAUUAUUACAACCUUAUUGCUGCAAGUACAAUUUCCACUUAUAUAAACCUCUUCCAAUUUAUUUAUUUUUAUCUUUUUUAACUUUGGGCUUUUGUACAUUAAUGUGAUUGGAAUAGUACAUGACAAGUUUGGAGAAAUUUGGUGAAAACAUGGGAGAAGAAUAAAUGAUUUCUUAUUUUUGGUUUAAAAAAGUCGUGAGAUUCAGUCUCUAAAUUUAUUGCAUGUUGAUUUUUUAUUAAAAAAAUAUUGUAUGCAUAGAAAGGGAGAGAGGAUAGGUGGCAAGGGUUGAGUCUUCACCCCCAUGGACCACCGCCUCUAUCAGAGGGAGUGAAGAUCCUUGGCACUUGGACUAGCCCCUUCUGCUUAAGAGUAGAACUUGCUCUAAACCUCAAGGGCAUUAGCUAUGAAUACAUAGAGCAAGACUUGAGAAACAAGAGCCCGCUUCUUCUUCAACUGAACCCAGUUCACAAAAAGGCCCCUGUUCUCAUACACAAUGACAAGGCCAUCUCUGAAUCUCUGAUCAUCCUUGAAUACAUUGAUGAAACUUGGCAAAAAAUUGCUCCUCUUGUGCCUGAAAAUGCUUACAAGAAAGCACUAGUGAGAUUUUGGGCAGACUUUUUUGAGAGAAAGGUGAGUUUUUUUGUCCACUUUGAAUUGGGUUUUCAGUUUUUGUUUUGCCAAAAUACUUUACUUGAUUUCAACUUUUCAAUCGAUAUCUGUAAAACCCAACAUUUAUAAAGGUAGUUUUUUUUUUGGGAUAUAUAUGUAUAUUUGGAUUAAAUUUAUGGACCUUUUUUUUUUUUCAUAUUUUUCCAUUGUUAUCUUGUUCAGUCAGCUGAGAGUCACUAUGUUUCUAGGAUCAUAUUUUGGAUUAUUCAAUAUUUGGACUAAAGUUAUGGAAUGGUUUGGCUUGACCUUCAGGUUUUCUCCAUUGAUUUUGGUUCUGUUAGCAUAGAAUUGCACAGUUUUGGGUUAUACUUUAAAUGAAUUUUGCACAUUAAUGCUAAAUCUAUGGUUUGGCCUUCAUCUUUUCAUUCCUUCUAUUGAUGUCUCGAUCAGGUAAUAGAGACCACCAUAGAGUUUACAGAGAACCUCAAGGUGUUUGAACAUGGUGUUCAAAAAGAUUUUGAAGGCGAGAACCCAUUCUUCAAUGGAGAAAUCCCUGGUUUUUUGGGAGUUGUAGUGUGUUCUCUGUCGAGCUGGAUCAAAGUUCUGGAAAUGGUCUCUGGAGAAAGACUGGUAGUAACUGAGAAGACCUGUGUUUUGUUCAUGGCUAGCUGCUUUCAAUGAAGUUGGGGUUGUUAGAGAGAAUUCUCCUGAACAUGGGAAGCUGCUUUCUCAUGUGAAAGCCGUGAGAGAGAAAUUACAAAGAUAGAAUCAAUAAUUGUUUUAUGGAAAAUUUAUGAAAUUACUUGUAACAGAUAAAGAAUAUAACAUUUACUCGUAUCAUUUCAUUUAAUCUCAAAUAGCCAUAAAAAAACUCAUGCUCUUGAGUUGUGAUAGUUGUAAAUGGGCAAGAGGUUAAAUAGAUAUCUCUUACAUAAAUUUCUUUUGUUUUAUUUUUAAGGUAAAUUUUUCCUUUUGUACAACGUGGUCACAAUCAGUGUUACCAAAAUAUGGUAUUAAGAUCAGAUCGACUACCGAGCCAACAAGAGGGUUUGGUUCGGUCAAAAUCAGCCAAAGCAAUUGGAUCAGAUUAAAAGGCAAUAAUAAUUUAAGGCGUGAAAUCUAAUACAAAAACUUGUUAGACGUUAUGCAUCUGGUUCAACCUAUUAGAUUGGAUGGUCCAAACAUUGAUUUUGAUUGGUUUUUUACUAAAUUUGUUUUAUAUUAGGCAAGACUGGCUAAAGCACUGAUUAUGGCUAGUCUAGUCUGGUCUUGGUGACUAAUCCCUUCUAGUUGGAUGUGGAAUUGACCAACUUGGGGUGUGUCAUUGGCGACUUAAAAUAUUUGAGAAGAGAAAUGAUGCAUCCUUAGCUGUUGAUUUCACAUAUCACACUUAGGGAUGAUUAUGAUCAUCUUAUACCAGAAAUAAAUUGUCUUAUACGAUAUACCUUUUAUUCUGAAAUGGCCAAGUCAGCUUCUUUCAUUUUAUGUUUGGGAGAAGAAAUUGAUUUGAGUUAUAGCUUGUUUGGUUGUGCACUGAUUUAAUGUAUAAUUGAUUUUCUUUUUGGUAAAUAGAAGCCCCCUACCAGCUUUCCAUUAAUAAAAUAAGGCGGAUUACAAUGUCUUAUUUUACAACCCUACAAUAUGGCAAUAUAUAAUGGGUGUAGUUUUUAUAAGGUCGAGGCUCUAAACCGUUGAAGUAGGGUGUGUCUUCAAAUAGUAUCGAAUGAUGUUGUUUCAAUACUGGAAAUCUUUGUGAUGGGCUGAAAACUUAUUUUCAUAUCUAAUUAUAAAAUUUUAAAUUUAAAAAAAGAGCAGAUAGAACAGAUCUAUGGACACUUAAAAAUCUUGAAAAUUGGCGGUCCAAAUAUACAUUACAAGAUUCAUUAUUUCCAAUACUAGAAAUCUAUGUUUUUGUCAUGUCUACACAUCUCGAGGUUGAUAUGUUCAAUUUGAGGAAUUUUGGGUAUUGAAACAACCUCUUUGAAUGAAUUUUUGAGGUGCGCCCUAAUUUGAUUGUUUAGAGCCUCGCAUUUAUAUAAACUUUUUCCAUAGUAAAUUGAUUUGGGUAAGCAUGUUUCAUCUUUCCCUUCUGUUUUUUCUAUGUUAAUGCCAUGGGAUUAUGACAUAACAACAUAUUUUUGUAUUUUGGGGGAGCCCUUUAAUACUAGAUACGUGCUUCUUUUGGUUUUGUUUUUGUGUUUGAUCAUAUUUAUCAUCGGAUUACUGUCUCCCAAAAUGAGUGGGUAACUAAAUGAAGUCCCUUAUUAUAAGCACGAUAAAAGGUACUAAAUACGCAAUAUUUUUAUGCUUUUGGAACAAAUUGCAUCUUCUUUUGUUUCCAUCACUUGUGACUUAGGUUAUCGGCAAUCAAUGUUUUAAAACCUUGGGAUUUUCGAUCCUAAUUGUUGAUCUGGAUGGAAAUUUGUCAAGACUAAAUAGGUUUUGGGAUGGUAGAGGUUCCGGCUCGGUUCCCCCUAAGUCUUCUUUUAUNNNNNNNNNNNNNNNNNNNNCCUUUUUUCUUUUUAAGCAUGUCUAGUAUUUCAUUAAGUGCCCUCUAAAUCCCGAUCCCAUAAAUUCUUAUUUUAAUUUAAUUUAAUUUUAUUUAUUUUUUAAUAGUUUUUGGAUCAUUGAUUCGUACUGAUCCGAAUCACCGAUAAAGCGAUCCGAUACGCAUCUAUGGGUGAAUGUUCUACCCCACCAAUUCAUAUUUUGAAAUACUGAUCCCCGUCUUUUGAGAUGCGACCAUUUGGAGGUUCUAUUAGGGAGGAUGUAUAGCUAUACCUUAUAUUUUAACUAUUUAAUAUUUUAUCCAUAUUUUUUAAUUAAUUUCAAAUAUCUCAAUCACUCUUUUGACUAAAAUUUAAAUAGCCCAUCAAAAUGACACAUCAUGAAUGCGUUUUAAACGUAUCCAAUUACAACUCGUUAAAACAUUAAAUAAUGUAAUGGUUAGGUGUAAUUGGAUACUUUUCCCCUAACAUUCCCCAUAAGAAUCUAAGAUCAUAAGAUUAUAUGCUCCCACAUCUAAGAUCAUAAGAUUAUAUGCUCCUGUGGGAGCAUUUUAUACAGUUCACUCCUAUGUGUAAAACCCUGUCUAGGAAUACUUUGAGGAUCCCAAUAAUGGGGACGUAGCCAGCUCAACCAAGCAGCCAAUCUCAAUUAAAGAAAAAAAAAAGAAAUCUAUGAAAACUUGACAAUUUCGAAAAUUCACGGUCCAAAAAUGCUUUUCAAGACACUAUUUUCGAAACUUUGAAAUCUAUUUUUUCUCAUGUCCAUGCAUGAUUAAUUUGAAGAUAUUUGAGAAACAACCUUUUCUAGUGACAUUUUUGAAUUUGAUUGUUUAGAACCUUGGCUCUAUAUAAACCUUUUCCUUAGUUUACUUGCCUAACCAUACCACACCUUUAGUCAAACAUCCAACAACCUCACCUCGCAAACCAAGAAAUCACAAUCAAUAAAAGCAUCCAUUCUCAUUUCAUUUCAGUUUACAGUGCUCAAUAAAUCAACCUUCCAUAAAGAAACCAUGGCCUCUCCUGAAGUGAAGCUAUUUGGGAUUUGGGCAAGCUCAUUUUGCGUUAGAAUUGAGUUAGUUCUCAAGCUCAAAGGCAUAGCAUGUGAAUAUACUGAGGAAGACUUGAGCAACAAGAGCCAGCUUCUCUUGCAACUCAACCCCAUUCACAAGAAGGUCCCUGUGCUUUUGCACAACGGGACGGCAGUUGUCGAAUCAUGUAUAAUUCUCUAAUAUAUCAAUGAGACGUGGCCGGGGUCUCUGUUGCUAUUGUCGAAAGACCCUUAUCAGAAAGCCCUUGUUAGAUUUUGGGCUGAUUUCUUCGAUAAAACAGUGACGAAGGUCUGACACACUUCUUGGUUUAGUGACAUGAAGAUCUGACCCACUUCUAAUGCCCAAAUGCUUUUCAAAGUUCCAUAAAUCAGCCAUUUAAGUCGAUUUCUCUCUUGAUGAUAAAUAUCCUCAUCUUUUUUAAUACGUAAUCAAGAUUUUUGGGCUAAAAAAAAGAAGUUUUUUAUUUCCAUUUGUAUCUGAAGGUUUCCCCCUUAUUUGUUUGUUUUCCAUAUUGUCUUGCAAAGUUAACUUCUUCCUCUAUUUAUAUUUGGCUUCAAAUGGUAUUAUUUGAACUCAUCUAUAGAAUGAGUUAUUUAUUAUUACAACACUCCAUAAUUACAUCAUGGCAAUGAUUUUGUAUUCGAGAUUGUAUACAAAGAGACCAUUUACCUUUAGUAUAAGGUAGUCACAAUUACAUGUAACGACGUGAAAAAUAUCUGAUAGCUUGGGUGUGUCACAAAAUUCGAGAACAUUUCUUUUGAACUUUAAACUUGGUCAAUGGAAUAAAUGUAGCUACCCAAUUUAACAUCCUAUGGUCAAAUUUAAUGUGACCCCCUCGUGCCAAAGAUAAAUGGUCUCAUUGUAUACCUUUUCUAAAUAUGAUGUGAAUGUGAAAUAUCUUUAUCCAAGAGCACAUAUAGACGGCUCCUGAUGGAGCAAUACCAUACACUUAGUCCCAAGGGUAAAAGCCUAGUUAAGAAGAUUUUUGGAAGUAAAACGUUGGGAUACCCAUUAGGAUUCCAAACGAAUAUUUAAAAAACAGAAGGUAUAUUUUUAUUUCCUAAAUACUUAGAUCGCAUUCUUUGCUCAAUAUUAGGGCAUUAUUUUUUCUGGUGUGCAUAUAUUUUCCACUAAUUGCGGAAAAACUAUAACUUCCACUAUUGUUCAUAUCCACUUGCUAAGGAUUUAACUUGAUCAAGUUUUCUUUGUGUUUUCUCUAUUUUAGUUGGUGAUAUGUUGCGACAACAUUCUUGCAUCAGAAGGCAAAGAGCAAGAGAAGGCAGUCACUGAGUUCACAAAUAGCCUUGAGGUGCUAGACCAAGGCCUUCUGAAGGACUUCAGAGGGGGACUACCAGUUUUUAAUGGUGAGAGACGAGGUUUCUCAGACCUAGUUCUAAGUUGUAGCUCAGGUUGGCACAAAGUCCUUGAAGAGAUUGCAGGAGUAAAGGUCAUUGAAGCUGAGAGGAACCCUACACUUUAUUCAUGGAGAUCACAUUUCUUUGAACUCAAUGUUGUGAAGGACACUUUUCCUAGCCAUGAAAAGCUGCUCUCCUAUGCCAAAAACAAAAGGGAGAAGGUCCUUCACAUUGACACAAGCCUAGCAUGAGAAUUGCAUCUUGGAGUAGCUUCGUUUGUCCUUGUUUAUGGCUUUAAUUUUUCAUGUAAUGGAUUGUUACUAAAAGCAAUUACUUUCAGAUUGUUAUCUUUUCUUUAGUACCAUAUGAGGACUUUCUAGUUGGUAUAUUGACCUUCAAAAGAAAAAGAAAAAGGUACAGUAGUUUUUUUUUUUUUCUUUUCAAAUGAUGGACAAAAGGCAACAAAUGUACUGCACAAAAACUUUGAGGAGAUUAUUUGAGCAUUUAGCGUGGUGAUUAAAAAUUCGUUGUUUUUGGCUCGAACUCACUCCAAUCACUCAAACCCGACAAGAUGCCAGAUCAGGAUGAUUAACCCUAAACACUAGCCAUCGAUAGUUUAUGCAUUUUUUACCAAAUACUCAACUGAGCAGGCUGUCAAACUCAGCCGAGGGUGUUUCUGAACUUAGGCAUGGGACCCUAGCGAGUUAGAAACUGAACCAAGGUUUUUAAGCCCUCGUUUUGGUUUAGUGAUUAAAGACAAAAACAAAAAAACGAAUACUAAGAAUAUGGGUCGAUUCGGAGCCUCAUAUAUGCAAAUCCUUCUUUUGUAUAAGGAAAUAGUUCUCGAGCCGAAGUAUCUCUCUAGUUAAAAAUGACAGGAUUCUAUGUUAAGCCUUCUAUAUUUUAAGUUGCGCGCAUCACCCAAAUUAAAAUAAAAAAUAAAAAAUAAAUUAUAUUAUCAUAGGGAGGGAGACAUGAGCCAAAAUUUCUCCAAAUUAUAAGGCAAACAAGUAUUUAAGAAUAAGAAUAAAAUGGUUUUAGAAAAGUCAGAAACAGGGGAAGAAUGGUUAGUCCAUACAACAACAAAACUCUCAUGCUCACCCCAAACCAGAUGUCUCUCUAUAUUGGCCUCUUUGUAGGUUAGCCUUUAGAAGUCAAAAUUGCCACAAUUUGUGCUUUUUAAUCAGACAUGACAUGUGUUAAGCUUGGAGAGCAAGAGAAAGACCGCAAGUCAAAAUUAUUAUAUCACUCAAACUUGGAUAAGAAGAAAUAAUUUCUUAUAAGAACUCAUACUCCUCACCUCAUCUUACCUCUCUCUCUUUCAAGCCAAACUGAACCCUAAUUUCUCUGGUUUUCAUUCAAGAAGCCAUGGCCAAUUCCGAGGUGAAGCUUUUUGGUUUAUGGGCAAGCUCCUUUUGUCACAGAGUAGAGUUAGCUCUCAAGCUCAAAGGCAUAAGCUAUGAAUACAUAGAGGAGGAGUUGAACAACAAGAGCCCUUUGCUCUUGCAACUCAACCCAAUUCACAAGAAGGUCCCUGUGCUCUUGCACAGUGGCAGGCCCAUAGCUGAGUCUCUCAUUAUCCUCGAAUACAUCGACGAGACGUGGCCCGAGUUGUCGGCAUUGAUGCCCGAAGAUCCUUACGAGAGAGCCCUUGUGAGAUUUUGGGCAGAUUUUCUUGACAAGAAGGUAAAAUAUACUCCAUACAUUGCACCUCUCAUGCACUCAUAAUAGUUCAUGUAUUUUAUUUUUUUUCCUUUCUUUGGGGUGAACUAUAUCUUCAUUCAACAAGCAUACCUGAACAAGAAUUUGUGUGUUUAUUACUCUACAGUUUUUGGAGACGAGCGAAGAGAUUCUAAGAACAGAGGGGAAAGAGCAAGAGAAAGCAGUUGCAGAGUAUAGGGAGAACCUUGAGGUACUAGAAAAAGGUCUUCAAAGGGAUUUUGGUACCAAAAAGCCCUUCAUUAAUGGAGAAACCCCUGGUUAUUUGGAUGUGAUUUUGGCCUCGAGCUCAGGUUGGAUGAAAGGUUUGGAAGAGAUUGCAGGACAGAAGUUUAUAGAGGAAGAGAAGGCCCCUCUUAUGCACUCAUUCAUGUCUGCUCUCUGUGAUCUUGGGGUGGUGAGGGAAACUAUUCCUAGUCCUGACAACCUGUUAUUGUACAUAAAGAACAAGAGAGAGAAAGCCCUUGAGUCUGCCAAAAAAGAAGCAUGAGAUUUCUUUUUCUUUUUCUUUUUUCUUUUUUCUUUUUUCUUUUGGUUUAUGCUUUGGACUAGGCGAUUCAAGCAGUUGAUUUGUGGAAUAAAUGAUGGCUUGUGACCAUUGAUGCUACCUCUCUUUUUUUUAUAAGUUUUUAUUAUUUUAAUCCAAUAAAAUCCUAUUUUAUUAGGAAUUAAAAAAUAUAUUAUUUUUUAUAUUUAAUCUGAAAUCAAUUUAUUUAUUUAUUUUUUUCAAAAUUAGUAAUUGGAAACUCCCGAACAAUAUUAGAUUAUUUUUGGGGAUGGAUGGAUGGUUUGCCAUCCCAUUUGCCAAACUGUCUUCUUGUUGUCUUAGUAUUUCAAGUAGCAGAUCGGAUGAAAACAUAGCAAAAAAAAAAAUCGUAAAGUGUUGCAUCGGACCUCCUUCAAGGGUCGUCUCCCUUUGUUUCUUGUUUUUUUUAUGUGCUUGUGGUUCGAGUCAGUCCCGCAUUUCAAGCACUAUACCGAUGAUGAGAAGGUGGUCCGGCACUUGCAGUUGCUAGACCAAACCAUUAUAAAAAAGUCAUCCAGUGCUUUGAAGUGAUGGACCAACUUCAUAAAAAAAAAAAAAGUUUUAGGGUAUAUCCAGUAUUUUGUAUGGUGGGUAAUUUGAAAAAAAAAAAAUUUUAAAACUAACGAAAAAGGGCCCCAAGUAAAUUGUAAAAUAAUAAUUAUAAUAAUUCUAAAAAAAUAAAAAGGUAUAUUUUAAAUUUCCAAAAGCAUAAAUAUUUGGUUUUACUUUCAAUAGUAUGUAAUAUUGAUUAUAGAGAUUGUAUACUAAUAUCAUUAACUUUUGGUGCAAGAAGAUCACAAUUUUUUUGUGAAAUUCGACAUACUAAAAUGUGUCAUAACGUUCAAAAAAAUUUAUUUGAACUUUGUAUUUAAUCAAUGAUGCAUUUUCAACCACCGAAAUUCACAUUUAAUGGUCAAUAAUGAUUUUGAUAUCCUUUUAUUUGAACUAUUUGCCUUAUCAAUGUUGCUAUUUUUUUUUUUUGACCAUUUCCUUUGGGGCCACAUGUCAAACAGGGACCAAGUGUAUAUCCCACUCCCACCAUCACCGUUCAACCAACCAUUGGAUGGUGAUAACCUCUGUAAUUAUUGUGUUUCUAAGGAAUAUAGCUGUUUGUAUAGAGCCGAGGCUCUAAACAAUCAAAGUAAAAUGCACCAUCAAAUAGUGUUGAGAAAUAUGGUUUCAAUCCUGGAAAUCCUUGUGAUAGCCUGGAAAUAUACUUUCAUCUCUAAUUACAAAAUUUAAAGCUUCAAAAGUAGUGUAGAUCAACUAGAUAUAUGAAAACUUGAAAAUCUUGAAGAUUGACGGUCUAAAAAUAUGUUACAAGAUAUAUUAUUUUCAGAACUUGAAAACCAUUUUUUUCUCAUGUCCAUGCAGCUUGAUGUCGAGAUGAUCAAUUUGAGGAUAUUUGGGCAUCAAAACAACCUCUUCUAGAGAAAUGUUUUAGGUGAGCUCUAAUUUGAUUGUUUAGAGCCUCGGCUCUAUAUAAACUUUUUCUUUAUAUAAUUUUGUUAUUCUGUUUCCUUUACUGCACCCUUGUCAAAGGAAACCGUUACAUGCAGCUCCAUUUACAUAUAAAGAAUUUGUGACUGAUAUUUCUAGUUGUCCGAUCAAUGGAUAAUUGGGCAAGCUUUAGUCAUAAUGUCCUGCUUAUAGAUCAUUUUUACAGUAAAUUUGGAGUCGCACACUUCUUACAAGGGCACACCUAACAAAAAAAAUAGUUUUUGAUAAGACACUCUUGCAAGUUGUAUGGAAUUUUGGGCAGUUCUUUUCGCGAAAACACUUCUAUUCAUCUAUGAGAAGUAGCCACUUCCUAAAUUUCAUGUAAAAAUAAUUUUUAAAAUUAAAAAUCAAAAUAAAAUACUAUGAGUCAGAUCGAAAUACUCAAAAGGUAAUAACAUUAUGGUUGAGGCUAUCCCAGCCAUUCGGUCAUAUUCGAUGGUAUAAAUUGUUAUCAUAUGUGAUUGGUUCUACAUGUAAAGAUUUCCUAUAAUUAACCAUCAGACUAGAAGUUGCAUGGUGUACCAAUAGUUAUUUUGAUGAUUUUAAUUGGAUUUGUUUAACGUAACAUAUGUUUCAUUUAUCUUGUUUAAGAUAUGGGUGUGGUUUGUAUAAGAUGUCAACCUUAAUCAAUCAAUGUAAAGUACACCUCUAUAUUUUACUAAAAAAUAUAAUUUUGGUGCCGAAAACCUUUACAAUAACAUAAUAAUCUAUUUAUACCCCUGAUUAUAAAAUUUAAAGUUGUAAAAAUUGUGUACAUCUAAUAUAUAUCCAUAAACAUUUAAAAACUUAAAAAAUUGAUGGUAUGGAUAAUGUGUUAUAUGAUGCACUAAUUUUGGGAUUUUAAAUCUUCAAUUUUUUUCAUAUUCAUAUAUCUCGAGGUCAAGAUAAUCAAUUGUAGGAUUUUUCAAUGCCUGAACUAAGUUUUUGGAUGGAUUUUUAAGAUGCACCUCAUUUCUGAUAUAAAAUUUUUCCAUUAAGAUAAUGCACAACAUUAAAUAUAUCUAUCCAAAAAAGAGUCAUUUCCCUUCUCGAUACCCCUUCUUUAGACAGUGCAUCCACCUUAGCGUCCCACUAUGCAGGAUUGACAAGACAGAUUACUUAGAAAUUUAGAUUGGAGAAAAAUCAAACCUUGACCCUUUCUUUGGUCAAGGUUUCAAUUCACUUUUUGACCAAUUCAUUCGUUUUUUAUCGACCUUCACUUGUAUCCGAAAUAAAUUCCAUCCAACUAAAAGAAAUAUUUGCAUUCCUCAUUCAUUGCACCUUAGAACAAAUAAAGAUAAAGAAUCAAGAAAGCACUCAAAAAUCAAGAUCUUAGGCACCUUAAUGAGCAAUUAUAGCACCUCAUAUGUCAUCACUUACGCAAGGAAGCAGUCAUAUUCGACGGACCCAUCUCCCCCAAAAAACCCAAAUGUUAAAAUUUAAAAUAAAAUAAUAAAGGAAAAACCCACUCCCCACCUAAACAUUAGAAAAGUGCCAUUUACAUGGGAAAAAAUCUUUCCUCAAAAGCCAAAAAAAAUCCAUGCUUCUAUGGAAGCAUAAUAUUUGUUUACUCCCUCAGGCUAAACCCAAUUUAGAACUGCUUUUAGGACCCCAAAUUUCAGGGAUAUAAUAUCUUCAACGCACAGACUAAGCUCACUGAAAAAAAAUUUCCAAAUCAUACUCUAUUUGGGGUUGAGAAAAAUAAUGCCUCAUAAUUGAAUACCAUCCAAUUAUUUGAAAGAUAAAAUCUAAGCAUUAGAGAACUAUUUGAAAUAAUCAUCUAGUGACUCCUAGGAGGUAUCCAAAAUUUUAGAUUGAAACAAUCGUCCAAGUAGAUCAUAUGUGCAAGAGAGUGUGCAUAAUAUACUCCCUUGGGAGCAUAGUAAACAUGGUAUUCUCGAAAACAUUUUAUCUAUUUGCAAGAAAGGCUUAUAAAUAUUCAGGUUUCUCAUGUGAGUUAGCAACCCAAAGCACAACAUGUACUCAUGAGAGAUGGAGUCUAGGGAGGUGAAGGUAAUUGGGGUAUGGCAUAGCCCCUAUAGUUGGAGAAUUGAGGUGGCUCUCAAGCUCAAGGGUAUAGAGUAUGAAUUCAUAGAAGAUGACUUGAGCAACAAGAGCCAACUUCUUCUGCAACUCAACCCUGUCUAUAAGAAGGUCCCUGUGCUCAUACACAAUGGAAAGCCUAUUGUUGAGUCUCUCAUCAUUCUUGAAUACAUUGAUGAGACAUGGCCUGAAUUGCCAGCAUUGAUACCAAAAAAUCCGCAUCAGAAGGCUUGCAUGCGAUUUUGGGCCGACUUCUUCGAUAACACAGUAAUUUAUAAUUUGCUACUUAACAUGGUUUUUUAUUUAUUCAUUUUUAUUUUAUUUUUUUGAGAUUAUUGUGUGAAAAACAAGCUCUAUUGUACAUUUAACAUUCUUAAAGCUUAACCAAAGUUCAGGUAACCCCAGAGAUUAGCUCAACUAUUUUUAGAAUGGUUAAUGAUCCUUGUUCAUAUUUUUUUUAUAUUGACGUGAGAACAAUGAAAGUCACAAACACCUCAAAACAUUGGGUUUAAAAUCAGAUGAACAGGUUUUAUACAUAGUUGGAAAAAAAUUCACAGAAUUCAAGCAUGGUCGAUACCCUUGACUACCCAAUUUCGUAUUUUGUGAAUUUUUUGUAGGAUAGUUAAAAACUCACAUUCUAAAUUUUCUCUUAUUAUAUCUUUCUUUGACUCUAUUUAUUUUUUUCAAGCCCAAGACUAAGCUCUAUUGAUCAUUGGGGUACAAAGUCAGUCUCUCUCUCUUGUGUGACCUCAUUUUUUCUUUGCAUUGCCUUAGUUUCCAGAGAUUGGCAGGAACAUUUUGAAGACACAAGGAGAAGAACAAGAGAAGGAAGUGAUAAAGUUCAAAGAGAAACUCGAAGUGGUAGAGCAUGGCCUUGAAAGAGAUUUUGGUGGCCAAAAGCCCUUCCUUAAUGGUGAGAACCCCGGUUAUUUGGAACUAGUUGUGGGUUCAUGCUUGGCUUGGGUCAAAGCUCAAGAAGAGAUGACAGGGGCAAAGCUGAUAAGCAAAGAGGAGACCCCAUUCCUUUUUUCAUGGCUAUCUGAGUUUUGUGAAUUUGGGGUGGUGAAAGAGGCUCUGCAAAAUGGCCCAGAUCAAGGGAGGCGACUGGAGCAUCUCAAACUCAAGAGAGAGAGGCUCUUGAAGCUUACAAUGGUUUAGACUACAUCUCAUGUCAUGCCUUUUUCUUUUGGAGAGGGGUUUUUGCCAAGUUUGGUUUACCCUAUUUAAAUAUAAUAAGCUGGAGGCAUGUAUUACCUUAUAUGUAAGGCAUAAUGAGCCUAUGCAAACAUUCACUCCUUUUCUUUUUUUUUCAGUUGUAGUUGCAUUUCCUCUUUAAUUUAGAUUUUAGUGUGUAUAUAUGCACCACAGAAGAGCAAAAUAGAUACUUGUUGGGAUUUUUUUAUCUAAAAUUUUGUGAAUCACCAUAUACUCAUUUCCUUUUUAUUUUUCCUUCCCCACUAUUUCAGUCAAGAUUUUUCUUCUUGGUUCUCUAGCCUUUUGCAUUAUUAUAUAUUUUAUUUGUUAGAAAAUUUCUCCUUGUUUUUAAUUUGCGGGUGUACAGAUUGCAUUCAAGUUCAAACCGUUACAGAAGAAGAAAAAAUUGAAAAUAAAAUAAGAAAGGCUAGCUCUUGUCAUUGCAUUGCAUUUAGAAAUUCGAUGCAGUUUUGUACAAGGCCUAAGUUUUAUGGGAAAAAUGUAAAGCUUCUCCUUAAAGGGUGCGGUUUGUAUAGAGCCAAGGCUCAAAACAAUCAAAGUAGAGCGCACCUUCAAAUAGUAUUGAGAAAUUUGGUUUCAGAAAUAUUUGUGAUAGUUUUAAAAUAUAUUUUUAUUUUUAAUGUAAAAUUUAAAGCUUCAAAAAUAGUGUAGAUCAAGCAUAUCUAUGAAAAUCUUAAAAAUUGACGGUCUAAAAUGCGUUACAAGAUGCACUAUCUCCAAAACUUGAAAUCCAUUUUUUUCUCAUGUCCACGUAUCUUGAUGUCGAGAUGAUCAAUUUGAGAAUAUUUGAGGUGGGCUCUAAUUUGAUUUUUUAGAGCCACGGCUCUAUAUAAACUUUUUCCCACCUUAAAACCUCAUUUGAAAAGCAUUUUGGGCAGGGGAAAUCCCUAUAUAGCUCUAAAAUCUAUUUUAACUAAUAAUUAUAAAAUUUGUAGCUCAAAAAUCGGUACAGAUCUUGUCGAUCUACAACUCUUGAAGAUAGAUGGUUCAGGUAAUGCAUUACAACAUGCACAAUUUUUAAAGCUUCAAAACCUUUUUUGUUAUUUUCACAACCAUAAUGGUCAAAGUCGAUAUGAACGAUUUGAAGGUUUUCUGAUGCCAAAACUUCAAUUUUUGGUUAAAUUUUGAGAAGAGACUUUUACUCUCUUUUUUCCAUGAAGCCUAGGCUUUAUUUUAACCCUUUCCUUCAAAAUUUGUUUUCAAACUUACCACUCUUAGGUUAACCAAGGAAGAGUAAUGUCUGCACUCUAAUCAAAACUAGUUGCUUGCCAAAAUCAUAUAGGCAAAAAGGUUUUUUUUUUUAGGUAGAUCGACCCAUCAUGUUGUGGUACAACCACCCUGACCACUAUGCCUUGAGCACAAUUAGAAGAGACCGCUAUGCCUUGAGCACAAUUAGGAGAAAGAGAAGCAUCCAUGGAAAGGGCAUUAGUAGUCGUGCUUUUAUCUAAAAGAAGUUGGGAAUGUGGUUUUUUUAUUCAAAUCCGAAGAUGGAAGAUUAUGGGUCAAUUUACAUAAGUCAAAAAAAGAGAUGGGUAGUGCAAGAAAAAUCAUGUGGUAGGUGAGAUGUUUGUUUAUUUUUAAUUUUUAAAUUUUGUUGUUGGUACGUUUUUAAAUAGGUUACUGUGCUAUCACUAUUAUGGAGACAACAAAGCGGAUGUCAGUAUCAUGAAUAGAUUGGAGUUUUCCAUAAAUUUCUCUCUACUUUACGUUGGUCAAAUGCAGCAAAUAUGGUUAGGCUUAAGAGAGAAGAAAUAACUGAGGUUAUCAUCAUGAAAACGAAAAAAAGUUUUGCACCCAACCCACAGGAGCACUUUCUCAUUUUGUUCAUUCUGUUUAGGGAAAAGUUUAUAUAAACUUGCACCUGUAAAUGUAGAAUUAAGGUGCAUCAUAAAAAUCUAUGAUAAAUAGUUGUUUUGAUGUUGGAAAACCCUCUAAUUGAUUAUCUCGACAUCGAGAUGUAUGAAUAUGAAAAGAAAAAUAGAUUUCGAGUUCAAAAAUAGUAUAUUUUGCAACACAUUGUCUCAUGUGUUUAUAGAUAUACUUGAUUUGAACCAUCUUUUGAGUUUAAAAUUUUAUAAUUAGAUAUAAAAAUAGAUUCACGAGCCAUCUGAACAUUUUUUUGACACCAAAAUUACAUUUAUGAUAAAAUUCGAACGUAUGGCUUAAUUUAAUUAUUUAAUCUUAUGCAAACCACACGCUUAGGGUAAAACUUAACUAGGAGUAUUUUUAGGACUUUAACCUCUUGAACAACCUCAAAAUAAGAUGAACUAAAAUCGGACAAUGUACUUUGGCACGGGGGAGUAAGUACAGAGCAUGCUCCCUUGGGAUGUACACGUGGUCCAUCAUGAAUACUUCGUCGGUAUAGUCCAAAGAUUCAAAGCUUCAGCAGGAGCAUAGUGUUUGUUUACUCCCUCCAGUGAAACCCAAUUUGGGAGUAUUUUAGGACCCCCAAUUUUUGUUAAUGUAAUGUCUUCAACUCAUAGGCUAACCCCAAUAAAUAAAUAACUAAUCCAAAUUGCACUCUCAAUGGUAUCAAAAAAUAAUAAAUAACUAAUCCAAAUUGCACACUCAAUGGUAUCAAAAAAAUAAUAAUGUCAAGAUUGAAUGAAGACCAUCCAGAUUUUGGAGGGUGAGAUCUAAGUGAUAGAGAACUCAAAAUUCAAUUUUUUUCUUUUAAAAAUAGUCAGUGAUUCUUAGCUGGUUUACAAAAUUUCAAAUUAAAAAAAUAAAAAUCCUCCAAGUAGGUAUUGUCCUGAGGGAGUAAGUAUGCAAUAUAUGCUCUUGCAAUGCAUAGUAUACAUACUAGUAAAUGUUAUAUGUUUUGUAAAUGGACGUGAUUUAUAUGGUUUCUAAGACUCAUUUGUAGAAAUGAGUCCCCUCUUAAAAACACAUUUUUAAGAUGGAUUUUGAACCUAAUUUUUAAGAAAUGUAUAAUCUCUAUAUUGGAGGUCAUGAAUAUGUUAAAAAAAAAAUUAAAAAAAAAGGGUUAAAAAUUAAUAAUAAUAAUUUUAUGAAGCAAAUAUUUAGAAAAUGGAUUCUAUCGUUUUUUUGGGAGGGAUCAUCCACUGUGCAUAUGUCUUUAAUAUGGAUGGUUUAUGCCUUUGAGGACAAAAAGGUAAGAAUGCCUCCCCCGGCCGACGCAUACAAUAUUUUUCCUUCGUAAAUUUCCACCUUGGUCAACUAACGCACAUUUAACAAUUUUCCUUUGUAAAUUGCCUUCAAAUUUCCCACCUAAACAGGAAGGGUUAUGUGUUUUGAGUCAAGAUACUUAUUUAUUUGAAGCUAACAAUGGAGUUGAGGUUUAGUUAUUCAGAAGCAACCAGUAGGCAAACUCUCAAGAGUUCAAUUUAGUGCUCGAGAUUGCAUUUGGAAGAUGUCUCAGGAAAUAGGACUUUACCCCCUGCACCUGGCUUCAGCCAAAGGCGAUGUUGAGGCUGUGAGAGUGCUCCUGAGCUUGGACCAAAACCUUGCCUUCGUGGUGGACAAAAAUGGAAUGACUCCUCUUCAUGUUGCAGUAACUGAAGGGAGAGUUGAGGUGGUGAAAGACAUGCUCAUUGCUAAUCUUCAGUAUACUGAAGAAGGUGAGACAGUUAUACAUCUCUGUGCCAGAAACAACCAUUACAGAGUCUUUGAAUACUUGGUGAAAUUGCUACAUGUGAAUGUCUUUGUUAACAUGAGUGACAAUAACGGGAAUACUGUCAUGCAUGUUGCUGUCAGCUGCAAACAGCUCCAGGUAAGCUUUUUACACCAAUUUUCUAUUAGGAGCAUGAUGACCAGAUAACCACACAUCGGCAUGUAGCAUGUCGAUGUGCACUGAAGAUAGCAAGGAGAGAAGGGGUCGUUUGUGGAUGUUGAUAAAAAAAUCGAGAAGGUGUACGCUAAACCAAGAUAACAAAAUGGGAGAGUUUAGGCCAUAAACCGGCUCGUAACUGGAAUCGAACCUAGGACAUAGUACUCCAAACGUUAACAACUAAACAUGAACUACUAACCACAAAGCCUACACAAAAUUCCUAGAAAUGGCACCAUGACCAAUAUGUGCGCUUUUGUGCACAUAAAUUGUUAAAACACCGAAUGCCUGGGUGGCUAAGUGCAUUUAAGAAAGCUUCUAUAAUGAAUUAUGGGAUGUAAAACAUGAGGUGGUGGUGCCUGUUGCACUAGGUAGCAUUUGCGGAAGCAGAAAUGCAUGCCUUCAGUAUUCAAAAUACUGCAAAUAAGAGCUUGUUUGCAUUCUGUUCAAAAAGCGGUCCGGAGUGCCGGACACCAUUUUACUCCAGCCGUCCAUCACACCCAAACACUACAACCAAUCCCAAAGGAAUCCUAAGUCUCAGCUCUAAGCCUUUCAGAAAGUUAGGCAUAACCCUUUGAAACACAGUUUUGAAAUGUUUUUCUAAUAUAUUAUAUUAUGUAUUUCCUGAUCUUUUCUUGCAAACUUACGCAAUCUAAUGAGAGGUUCUGGAAAAGUAAAUUAAGAGAUCACUCUAAAUUGACCAAGCUUAUACUAACCAAGACUCUGUAAAUCCAGUAUGAGUUCGAACAAUUGUAGUGACUCUUCGCUAGAAAAUUUGAGUGCAAACCCAUUAAACUUUGAAUUAUGUUUCCAAGGCACCCCUUACUGAAAAAUGUUUUUCUUGAGCACCAUCGACAUCUCUCCAACCAUCUCUUCUUGAUUGCCUUUCAAUUAUAUAAUCAUGAUUCUUUGCAUUUUGCUUUUGUAGUUUGUGAAAUUUUUGGUUACAGUGAAUGGAAUAGAUUUGUCUGCUCUGAAAUAUGAAGGACACAAGGCAUUGGAUAUUAUAUAGAAAGCCCCAUGGGAUUCCAGCAACAUCGAAAUAAUACAGACACUAAGGCAUGCAGGAGGAAAGAGGAACCAAGAUUUAGAGAUUUCCCAAGAAGUCAAUCGUUCCGAAGCUCCUUUUCCACCAAACCUUCAGAGAAGGCUUGAAUCAAUUGACCAACAUAUCCAGGACAGUUCAAAAGGGAGGGACAAGAUGUCGAAAAAUCAAAAUAAUCACUGGCCGAAUACUAGCCUGAAUGCAAUCAUGGAGCUCGCAGACAAGUCAAUGAAUAACCUAGGUAAGCAGUGGCUGAAUAAUAGCAGGAACGCGAUCAUGGUGGUUGCAGUACUUAUCGCCACCAUCACAUUCCAAGCUGGGAUUAGCCCUCCUCCUGGAAAUAAUUGGCAAAACCCCAACAGUUCCACUAUGCCUCUCACGUCUCAAUACUCCCCUGUAUCUUCUAGUCCCUCAAAAAGUUCUGACCUUUACCAGACGAAUUACCAUUAUUUCAUGUUUUUCGAUAUUGCUGGGUUCUUGACUUCGCUAAUUGUCCUCUUAUUGCUAAUGAGCUUGGUCCGCACCCAACCUCAGCUUCUUAUGAGGGUGGUGGUGAUUUUUAUGUGGAUCUCUAUUGUCUCCACUGCCUUGUCUUUCUUCCAUGGGGUGCGUCUAUCCAGUAACCUAGAUGACUUCAUUUCAAGGCUAAUAGCAUACUCUCCCUUGUUUGUUGUCACAGGCAUUGGAAUUGGUUUACUACUGUGGAGUAUGGAGUACAUAUCUCAUUUUUAGAGAUACAUGACGAUGAUGGGGAGAGUAUUCGUCCUCAUGGCAUAUUUGGCAUGGUUUGUAGAGUAUAUUGGAGUGACAUAUGGAACAUUUAGAUACAAGACCAUCUUUCUCUAGUAUCUUCACUGUAGUAGGAGCAAUUGUUGCUAUUGGUUUUAGUGUUCAUGCAUCUCCUGAAGUGAGGGAUGCAAGGCUGAGGAGGAGAAGACGGAAAUUUGAUCUUGAAUGUGGGAGUCUGGACCAUCCAGGGGAGAACAUAUGCCCUGUUUUCAGUAAAGAUGCAGAACGUUUCUGCUAUCUUUUGAAAUUUUCAUUUCUUUUUUCUUUCUCCUUUGUUCUAUCUACUUAUUUUUUCGAUUGUCAACGAAUUAGCAUUACAUGUAUGUUACAAAUCUUGCCUGAGAGAGUAAAUGUACAAUGUGCUCCUACAAGAGCACCUUCUCAUCUUUGCCCCUUUUCCUCUAUUUCGAAUUACAAUCACAAGAACUUGUAGCCUUGGGAGUCAACAAAUGAGAGUAGAUUAAAUCGUGUACUAUGAAAAAUCAGCCAAAUUUCACCACAUACGCAAUCACUCACCUCAUAUUUCGAUUUUCUAAAGUUAAACAUCAGCCAAAUUUGACAAAAUCUGAUCACCCCCACAAUUAUAAAUAUGCACCCCACUCGCUUCCCACCAACAAAAAAAUACACAACCACUUUUUUUAAAAGUUGUUGCAUCAUAUUACUAUACAACGGUUGCAUGAAAUCAUUGCCUAGAAAGAAACCAUGACCACGGCCACCUCUGGUGAAGUGAAGAUAAUUGGCCGAUGUGCAAACUCCUAUUGUGUGAGAAUUGAGGUGGCUCUCAAGCUCCAAGGCAUCAGCUACGAAUACAUAGAAGAAGACUUGAGCAACAAGAGCCCACACCUCGUACAACUCAACCCAAUUCACAAGAAGAUGCAUGUGCUUUUGCAUAAUCGAAAGAUAAUUUUAUAAUUAGUUAUGAAAAUAGAUUUUCAGAUAAUCCUAAUCAUUUUUUAAACCAAAAUUAUAAAAUUUGGAAGUGCACCUUAAUUCGAUUGUUUAUAAUUGCAACCUUAUAGAAACCACACCCUUUCAUUAAUAAUGGCCCUAAUAGUGGUGCAUCUAUCCACUCAUGUAAAAACACGUUAAUAAAAGCAUGGGACCACAAAGAGAGAUACCCCAAUACAAAAGGGUAAGAGAGAGAGAGCGAGAUGGGGUGGACUUUCAAAUCUGUAUGCCGAAGAGCUAAUGCAAGGCUCAUCGAGCAAUAUCAAAAAAAAAAUUACCCAAUUUUAUCAUUGCUCAAUUAAUCUCUCUCUUGAGAAUGGGUCGAAUGGGGUCUGGAUCCAUUGGGAUUCGGAUUCGGAUUCGAUUCCAGACCAGAAUGGAUUCAAAAUAUUCGGAUAUGGAUCCAAAUCCAAAAAAUAUACAUGGGAUUUAGAGGAUCUGGAUCCGAAUCCAAAUAAUAUUUUAUAUAGCAUAUAAGUUAUUUUGUAUAAUAUUUUAAUAACUGGGUCAUAUCCGAAUCAGAUCCACCUGUACGUGGUUUCAAUCCAAAUUUUAGAUCUGAAUCCCACCUGUUGGAUCCAAAUCUUAGAUCCAUACCCAGAUCCGAAUAGGGUCCACCAUUCGAGUUUUGGAUCCAAACAGUUAAAUUCUCACCCCUAACGCACAUAUUCAUGAUGUAAGGAAUGUUUUCUAUUGCACCCUGCAGAAGUAGGGCAGCGGCAAGACCAUCUUCUCCACUCAAGGUGAAGAGCAAGAGAAGGAAGUAGCAGCGCGCUCAAGGAGUUCCUCAAUUUACUAGAAAAUGGCCUACGAAAGGAUUUUGGCAGCAAGAAACCCUUCUUUCAUGUUGAAACCCCCGGUUGUCUCGAACUGGUCAUCGGUUCGAUCAUCGGAUGGUUCAAAUUACUCAAACACAAAACAGGAGCAAAGGUGAUAGAUCAAGAGAGCACCCCAUUUUUGUUCUCAAGGAUAACUGAUUUUUAUGAAUUUGGGGUAGUUAAAGAAGCACUGCCUGAUGAAGCCAAGCUACUGGCCUUUGCUAAGAAAAGGAGAGAUAUGCCUACUUGAAUUCUCCAAACAUUAGUAGAAACAAUAAGAAAGAAUAUAGAAAAUGAUGAGGCUUCUCUUGUUGUAAGGCUAUGUAUGCAGAUUAUUACCCAAAAUAAACCCUUUUGAGUUGGUUUUAGCUGCUUGAGCAAUCGGAAACUCAAUCAAAGUAGUGGGAGAGAUACAUCGUGUAUUGUCGUGUGAUACUUUGGUUAUCUUGGAUGUCUGUUUAUUAUUGCUUAAUAAAAGGAUGUGUUUUGUACAAGGUGCCAACCUUAAGCCAUCAAAGUAGGGCGCACCUCAAAAGGUCAUUAAAAGAUGUAGUUUGGAUGGAAACACUUAAAAGUGGUCUACAAAUCCAUUUUCACAACUAAUUCUGAAGUUUAAAACUCCAUAAAGAGGCUUAGGUCGAGGAGAUCUACAAAUGUCUAAAACUUUUGAAAAUAGACGAUCUAAAAAAUAUGCUUUCUUUUUAUUACUUAAAAUUCAUUAUUCCUUUGGUAUUCAUACAUCAUGAGAAUAAGAUUAUCAAUUGUAGACCUUUUCAGUGUUUAAACCACCUUUUGAAGUGGACUUGUGAAGUGCAUAUUACUCAUGCAAUAUGAGGUUGAAACUUUUUAUAAACUUUUCCCUAAAUAGAGGAAAAAAUGUGUGGCUUCAAGAAGUGUUACGGCAGAGCCCAAUUUGCACAACUUGAUGGGCAGAGCAUUAACACUGAGACAAGGAUCCAAUCAAGCACCAUAUUUUUAAAGAAUCAACGCUCAAAUAAUUAAAUUUAAUUAGCUUAGUUCACAUUUAUGGUGAUCAACGUUAUAACAGGGUCAUUGAACCAAGAAAUGGAAACUGUUAGAAAACUUUACACUUCAACAAACUCAACUUUGUUUCGUCUUACUCGUUGCCAACUCACAACCAAUGAAAGAAACCUUAUUAUUAUUUGUUAUCUCACCAUAAGAAGACUUCGAUCCAUUCAUUUUUCUGCCCCUCUAUAACACAGAAAGAAACUCUGUUACUUUAGUGAUACUUCUUCCCCUCAUACCAAAUUCCAAAUAUCUAAUGGUUGAAGUAGAUACAAGGCCACAUCCAAAUAUCUAAUGGCUACAACCCUAAUGGCUACAACCCACAUAGGGUUAUAAUGUUUUAUACCAUCUAUUAAAACUGUAACCUAUAACAUUACACCAUCUAUUAAAACCGUACCCUAUAAGUAUGACGUAUCAACACCCUUUAAUAAAGUGCCAAAUUUGGACACAAUCUUAAAAGGCAUCAACUGCGUCAAACUGGAAUGGUCAAACUAGAAUGGACAGUAUAAAUUACUGUAAAUCUGCAACCUUAUGUUUACAAGUGGCGGCCCUGUACAAACUUCUUCAAUACCAAAAUGACUACGAAAAUGAAAUUAUAGUACAAACAGGUCACGUCCCAGAGACUGGAUCUGGCGCAAAAAGCUACAAAACUGGUAUCUAUGUCGAACACUUGUAACCCUAUUAAGAGUUUGUGAUGCUAACUAUGAACGCAGACAAAUCUUUCCAUUGCUUUCAAGGGACAUCUAAAUCUUACCAAACCUAAAACUGCUACUUUUUUAGGGAAAUGUAGAAGCCAUUACAACAUAAUUGGGAAGUAAUGAAAGCCCUCAAAUAAAUUAUAACAGGAUAGAAAAGCAACACUACAAAAAUUCCAGACAGCAUUACAAGAAAAUUUCUGAUAGUAUUAAAAGGAAAUGAGAGAGCCAAACAGACAUGCAAAUAGGAAACUACUGAAAACUUAAACCUUACAGUUCCUUUCACAAAGAAAUCACUAACUGAUAUUGCUGGAGAAACACCAGAAAAGGGACAGGAUGGAACAAAUAAUAAGAAACCAACAAGAUUGAAAAGAGGAAUUGUCGCCAAGUACACAGCCGAUACAGUCUUUUAUCAUGAGCUUCAUUUAACUGUAAUCCAAAAUUUGUUUCGCGUACAGAGCACACGGAAGCUUUUCGUACUUAACUCUUGGCAGCCUGCUUUUCUUUGGCCUUCUGGAUUUUCAAAACCUUCUUGACAAUCUUUUGCUCCUCCACCAAAAAGGCCCGAAUGAUCCUAAACCAAAAUUAAAUGAAAAUAUUGAUAUCCAUCUUUUAAAUGAGAAGUAGAAGGUGCCCCCAGGCUAUAUUUAUUUGACUAUGGUUUAUAUUUGGAAAUUCUUUUCAUGGAAAAACACCGAAGGAUAAAAAGAAAAUGAAUGAAAAAACAGAACAUAAAAUUAAUGAAAUAAACUGUAAAAUCUUAGUUUCCUAUAUUUUCAAAAAUUUAAGCUUUUCCUAAUUCAGUCUUAUAUAGUUCCAAAAACAAUCAGAUGUAGGGCAAAUUUCGACUCGCUCUAUAAAUGAUGAAAGGAAAAAUAAAAUACACAAAGCAAAAAUGAAAUACAUCAAGAAUGAAAUUUCAAAGUCUUUAAAACAAGUGCCCCAUGCAACAAUUCAUGAAAUUAUUAUGAUCGACAUUUGAUUUCAGAGUAAUUUAGAGAUAAUAAUGAAAAGACUUGGGUAUAUACAUGUGAAGAGAGAUGUCAUAUACCUUUCACGAACAGCACCACCAGACAAAACCCCCCCAUAAGCACGAUUCACAGUCCUCCGGUUCCUUGACAGCCUAGUCCUCUUAUAUUCAGUAGGUCUCAGAUGAGGAAUCUGUCAAACAAAAACACCAAUAAAUUAACUAUCAUUUCACAACGACCUUCCCCAAACCAAAGGGUAAGAAAAAGACGUUAUAGCACAACAUCCACUUCACCAAUUCAGUAAAGAGACAUUCAAGACUGAUAUAAAGGUUAUUAAUCAGAGUACUAAGAAGUAGGGGCCAUUUUUUAUUGAGAAUACAAGCAAGGAAGACAAUAAGUAAUAAUAAAAAGUAAAAACAAAUAUUGAAUGGUCAAAGACUUUAUCAUUUUGAAGAACUUACAUAAUUCAUACAUUAUUUCAUUCACAUCGAUAGAACAACUAGAUAACAUGAUAAUGAAAUCCACCAUCAUGGCAUAUUCAAGUCAAUAAACCACCAAAGUUCAGUAUCAUGUUGAAACCGAGUCAAAAGAGGAACCAUGAUAUUUAUGCAACACUUUGAUGCAGUAGUAGCGUACAUAUCAGCAUGUCUUUUAGGUCACAGAUGGGGACGGAUCACCUCAAGCUUAAAAAAGGAAUACACAAAGGGCAUAUCUUAGAAGACAAAUUGCAGUUGAGUACCUUAUCAAUAUACCCAAAAAGCCUAUGACGUGUAUUACUCACCAUCAAUCCAUGCAUAUUACAGGCAAUUGCACAGUUAUUAUUCAUGAACGACCAACUAUAUGACCCUUUGAACCCUUCAAAAUAGAUAGUCACAUGGACACAUGCACACACACAAGCCCAUGCACACGCGUACACACAAUCAUUAAUUACAGGGCUUUUUAAGAUAAAAACAUGUGAGAUAUUUUUUAAUAGUUUGGAAAUCUAGGAAUAUGGGUUAUGACUUAAGUAUGCCCCUGCCCAUGUGAUCAUUUAAACGCAGCAAGUGACAAAAUUACCCCAUUAUCCAAUAAAAAACCCACAACCCCACUCUCUCCCUAUCCAAUGAAAUUACGAUCUCUCUAAAUACUCUCGCUAAGUACCCAAAUGAAUUCUCUUGUUCUAAAUCCAAUUUGAUUAGAGUGUGUGGUUUCUUUCCACAUAGGCAGACAUUCAGAAUGCAAGUGUGUGACAAAGUUAAAGUUAAGAGAAACAGAACAGAUCUAGAAAGAGGAGGGACACUGUGGUUGUGGAGAGAGAGGGGGAGAGAGGUAGAGAUAGGGAGUAAAGAAUGCAUUCAUAUAUUUAGAGAGAUAUUCAGAAUGCCCACCACUUUCAGAAGCAUGCCACGCCCAUAUUCUUCAAUCCAACAAAACCAUUAUCAUCUUUCAAAAAAUAAAGUCCCCUCAAUCUCACCAAACAAUCAAUCAACAUCUGACUAUUCCCAUUCAAGAAAACACCAUCAAAUGUCUGCAGCUUAGGCAACACCACCUUAAUAGAUGCUGAAUUCAGUGCAACCACCACCAAAACCAGUAAGAAAGCUCAAUAAUCUCAGCAAGCAGCCAUCCAACCUUGAUCAUUCCAUUCCACAAAAAUGUAAUUAUACCUCUCCAUCUCGUCGGCACCCAGGAAACUUGUCGGCAAUUUCCCAAAAAUCACCACCAAAAUAAGAGGACUGCCAAACUUGUUCACCAUUUCCAUAAUCUGCAGUCAGAAAUAGCAGCAUGGACCUGCAGGAAUUCCAUCCAAAUCUCAAUGGAGUACCAAAACCUCUACAAAUGGGGUUUAUUUGGCUCAUCCCUAACAUCUUCACCCAUGACACCUCUCCAGAUUUCAGAACAAAUCCUCUCUAAGAUAAAAGUCCAGAUGUUUCAGGGCCCAAGUCUUCGCUCUCAUCUCUUUCCCUCUUGCUCUAAUCGUUGUGGCUUUAAAGUUCAAUAGAAAACAGUGACAAAUUGAUGGGCUGGAAGGGGGACAUAUUUAGUUCAUUUCCCAUUUUAAAUGACCACGUGGCACAAGGAUGCCCGAAGCAAAAUUGAAAGUUUCACAUGUCCAAAGUAUUUUUCACAAAUCUUUUCUCUUAAAAAGCCCUCAAAUAAAUACACAUUUCAAGUUCUCAGAGAAGUACAGUAGCAUUUCAAAUGUAAUCAUCAUGAAAUUUUAUUCGUGCAAAUACCCUUACACUUUAGUUAAAAUUUCAAAUGUGUCAGUAUGAAGAUGACAUACGCACCCAAUGUCCUCUACUGAUAUUUACACAUGUACCCUUACUCAAUAACCAAGCCACCCAUAAAAAAAACUUUUAAGUAAAAAAAUAACACAUCAAGUAAAUACACCCUACACAAGCUAUUAUAACCACAACCUUUGUAUUUUGAAAUCUUAAGUUUAGUUUAUCCUUAUAAUCUACACUUAACACAACACUUUAAAAUACAAAGGUUAAGAUUAGAAUGGGGUUGUGAAUAGUGCAUUUAAUAAAAGAAGUCACCACCUUUUAGUAAAAACAUGUUUUACAUGAGUAGCUUGCUCAUAUAUAAGGGCAUAUGUGUAAUUAUCACUAAAAGGCAAGGGGUACCUUUACAAAUUUAACAAGGACAAAGCUGAAAUUUUCACCAAAUCCAAUGGCUUUCACACUAAUCAAGUUUCAAGACAAUUACUUUGAAGAUACCAACCUACUUUUGUGGAAAUAUCAAAUGUAUCCUUAUCUAUAAAGGGCACAUAUUUACCCAAAAAAUAGAUUACAAUUCAUAAUACAUACAUCAUAAUCCAUCCCCAACCAUAUCCUUUGUAUUUUGUGCAGUUCUGAACUAUCGACAAAUCCCUCAUAAGGGUUUUAAAUGAAUGUGGUACCGGCAUUCAAAUAUGAUUCCUAAUACAAAAAUUUAAUUUCUGCAAAUAUAUGGCAAUUUCAAAUAGAUAACAUCACAUUAUGCAACUAAUUUCUGCAAAUAUAUUAGUUAGACAUGGUACAUCACAUUAUGCAACAAUAGAUUACAAUGGCGACACCAUUGACUUCAGGACAGUUAGUAGUACUGUACUUUGAGGCAACAAAAAGAGUUGGGUGAAAUUAAUCCCUAUCUCUAUAAACUAAACGGUAACCCAAUUAGUGUUCCAAACCCAUAGAUUUGAACACACUACCCUAAUACAAUAUUGAAAUCCGGUAAGCCAUAUGAAUAUCUCCAAGUAGCAUCUUUCACUAUGUCCUUCAAUAUUAUCAGAAGCUUCAAAUAUAAGUUGGAAAAUAUUUUAACUAAUAGUUCCCUUUCGACAUUUAAAAUUUGACGAGAUUAUAAUAAUUAACUAAAAAAAAGAGACCAUCAAGUCUUACGUAGCCACCAAAAAGAGUGGGGGGGCACCUAAAGUCUUAUAUUAAUUACUCAUAUAAGCAAAAUGGUUAUCAUAAAUUCCGUUCCACAAAUAUGGCAAACGUUACCUUCACCAGCCAUACAUUCUCAGGUUCAAUCAUGCUACUGCACGACCAGAAAAAGCAGUCUCCAUACACAAGUCAACUUAAGUACCUUUGAUCCAAAAAUAACCUUACAGAUAAUUGUUUUGUAUUACAAGAAAAUCCAUUAAACAAUCAAACCCACUACCCAUUGUGUAUAUAUAAAUGCAAUGUCUAAGACAUGGUAGUGGUACAGAAAAGUUCACCACAAGCAUCAGAUGAUUCUAUCACUGAACAAUAUUUCAUUCAUGAAAAGUACUGUGCAGAAGAAUCAAAAGCAUCGCAAUAUUUCAUAAUAGGUUUCAAUAGAUGAACAAAUAUAACAGCUUUUACUAGAUGAAAUAUCUUUCAAUCAAUGAACCCAUAUAGUUAUCCGUAUGCAACACUAAUAAUCUAGAUUGAAAAACAUAAACAGUAAUUAAUUCCAUACCCCUUGGAUUCUUUUGCCUGUGACUGGGCAUUUUGGCCCACUUGCCCUCUUUUUAGCAGUCUGAUACACGAGCUUUCCACCUGCACUCAAUCCAAAGGAAAAAUGAUUCAGAGAGAAUCCAUAUAUUCUAAAAAAAAUCUCCAAUAAAACCGGAUAGGCCAGUAAUAAAAUUAAACAAUCAAAGGAUCCAGGUCAGAACUUAGAGGAUAAAAAGAAACAAUACAGCAUUAAACCAAAAGAAAAUCAUCGACUUAAAAUGUUUACUAAUUUUAAAUCAGAAUAAGACAAAAAAAGACAAAGAAAGAGAUGAAAACAAAUAAUGCAUUCUUUUGGUUGGAGACUAAAAAUUCAGAAAAAAAAAAAGACUCAGCAACAGAUGCCAUUUGUAGAACUCCAGUUUAAGCGAUCUGAGGAAGUAGAAAAUGCAACACAACAAAACCCAAUAAACAGAACUUCAAUGAAAGCUGCAAUUCUCAGAACAAAACAAAUGGCAGAAUGAACAUAAGUAGAUUAGACAAAACCCUAAAAUGGUAAUACGCUAUGAUAACAUGUCUCGGUGUAUGCCACGAGCACCGGAAAGAACCAGGAUUUGAUAGAGAAAAACUAGGGCUUUGGAAUUAGAGCUGAAGGGAGAGAAACUAAUGUUUUUUUGCAGAGUACCUGGGGUUUUGACGACCCUGGUCUGGUUCGAUUUGGUCGCGUAGCUAUGGCGCGUGCGAUAGGUGAGCCGCUGCACCAUGUUUCCUCUCUCUCUAAACCUUCUCUCUCUUCCUCUCCAGAGAGCAACCCCGAAGUGAAACAAGAGGGUUUAUCUUCCGCUCCAACAGAGCAACGGACUUCUAUAAAGGAGGGGACGAGCCUGAAAACCCUAGAUCCGGAGGAAGAGUUUGAUCCAACGGUCGGGAUUGAUUUUGAUUCGAUAGCGUGAAUAGUCAGAUCUGCGUUCUGUUUUUAUAUAAUAUCAAAAAUACCCUUUGGCAUUUUUAUAUCGAAUGAGUUUUUAUGAGUUGCGACCUAUACUUUAGUACCUCAAAAAUCUAAUAGAAAAUGAGUAUUUAGAAGCCAAAAAAACCUUCCAAUUAAUUUUUUAGGCCUUAAAAUGUAUGAAUAUAAAGAAAAAGAUUUUUAAAUCUUUAAAAUAAUAGAUCUUAUAACAAGUUAUAUGUAGUGUCUAUUUUUUAGAUUUUCAAGAGUUUAUAGAUCUAUUUUAUUUCAAUUUUUUAAAAAAUUUCAUAAUUAGUGACCGUCAAGUUUUUGGCACUCAAACUAAAUCUUUAAAAGUGCACCUUAUACAAACUUUACCUCUUUUUAAUAUUGGAAGUCGCGGUAAGAGUGACCUUGUUUUCAAAGGAACUAAGUAGGAUUAUUAGUCAAGUCAAUCGACCCAUGGACCCAAUGGUUUGAUUGGCCCAACUCAUGUUUCGGUAUGCUUCCAGCUUCUUGACCCAGCAAGUCAGAUCUAACUUUAUAAAAUGGGCUUGAUAGUCGGUAAUGUCCGGAUCUGAUUCAAAACGAAACUUGACGUGAUCGGGUCUAAACGAACCCCCCUAGGAUUUGUUUAUGAAGCUCGGCUUAUACUUAAGAUAUCAUUUUGCAGCCGGUUGGCUCAUAGAAUAAUCUUCGUGUUUAUUUACUCUGAAUCUUGAAUUUAGUAGUGAACCAGUAGCCAUUAUAACUUUCUCUUUGAGUUCUAGUCAGUAGUUUUCAAUUUAUUAAUUCAAUAUUGUGUUUUGCAAUUGUAAAUUGGUUAUUCAUUGAUGAAAACUAAAAAUCAUUUUCUAGACAAACCAUUAAAAAAGGAUGCCAAAAGAUGUAUUGUUCCUGCGGGAGCAUACUGUCCAUUUGCUACUUUUGGUACGAUACCUAAACAAAUAGUCUUCUGAACCCCAAAUUUCAGGGAUGUAAAACUUAGGAUCAGGCUCAAAAACAAAAAAAAUUCAAAUCUCAUUCUCUAUAUGCUUGAAAAAAUUGUCUUUAUAAAAUUAAACAGGGGUCAUCUAAACUUUGGCGGGCGUGAACUCAAAAUUCAAUUUUCUCUUUCUAUCAUCUAGUCUACCUUAGGUGGAUCACAAAAUUUUAGAUGAGAAAAAUCAUCCCAAGUUGCUCUUUUGUAUGAGGGCUUUAAUAUGCAGCGAUGCUCCCGCAAAAAAUAGCCAUCUGCCUUGAAGAAACUAACAACCAUGCACUGCAUUGGUUGCGGAUCGGUACCAUUUCUAGAGCUUUGAAGCUCACACUGAGUUAAAAAUGGCAGCCAUCACAAGAUUUGUCGGUGUUGCAUCUAUGUUUGCUUACAGGGUUUUGAGUCAGGGCGUUACGAAAUUUUGUAAAGUUGCGGAUAUACCAAGACCCCAACCUUAGUAAUCUUCCAGUUAUACGGUCUUUACAUAUUUGGACAUAGUGGAUUGAUAUUUAAACAUGUCCUCAAUGUAUUUUUCCACAAUAAUCCAAUCAAAUGCUUGUAGUUUAAACCAUAUCUGCUGCAUAUACUCACAUACUAUGCCAUCAAUAGCAUCCUCACACAAAUUUGAAAAAAAAAAAAAAUAUUGGGCAAAACCAUUAAGGUGGUAUCAACACAUCAGACACAAUGAGAUCUAAUUAGAAAUAACCAUGGACUGCUAGAGAUGGUUAUUUGCAUUUUAUUUGCAUAGAGAUGGUUAUUUACAUGAUAUUAUUUUUUCUAGCAUGGAAAUAGAAGAAACGAGGGUUCCCUAUAGACCUUUCUAUCCUUGAGAUGGAUCCUAUCUAGUUUCUUUUGGCACCAAACAAGUUCAUCAGUUGUUAAUUUGGACAUCUUUAACACCCUAGAUACCAAUUUCAUGUCUAUUUGAGAAAACAAUAUGGUUUGAUUUGAGCCAUCAUCUUGCUUGUGGUUGAACUUCUUGAUCAAGCAAGUUCCACUCCUUUGCAAGUCUCUUAUUCUCCUCUCUUUCUGCCAAAGAAAAAAAGAAAUAACAAUAAAAAUAAAAAUAGUGGAAAAGAUAAAAAUUACAAUCAGUAAUAAGAGCAAAGCACAGAUAAAGUAAAGCAUAAAUGGACAGGUGAACUUUUGUGGCAAAGUGAUUUUAGGCCCUGUGUGGACAUACCAACCAUAGUCUGGAUGUUAUAGACCCAUCUCUACUGUCCCCUGCGACGAGAGAUGGUGAAGAUGAGCCUUUUACCAUAUACUGUCCCCACUCAAUGCAUUUAGUUUGGUUUCACGAUCGCUUGUUUCUGUACAUUCUCGUACUUUCAAUUUACAAAAAAAAAAGGAGGUUUUCAACAUUUUAAUGUUAUCGAUAAUAGCAGGUGAUUCUUUGGUAAACGGGCCAACAGGAGUAGGGUAUAGCGGGAGCCGACCAGACUCUAUUUUUUGGCUUUUGAGUGAGCUAACAGCAUUUCAUGCUGGAGUCACUAGAAGUAGUCAGUCCAAACAGGCCCUCAUUAGUCCAUAAAAGUCUAUGACAUUCUCAAGUAAUGAGAAAAUGUAAACACUUUAGAAGAAAGUUAGGUGUAUCGUCUAUCUAAGAAAACCACCGAUGUAGAUCCUAAGGUGUAUCAUCUAUCUAAAAAAACCAACGAUGCAGAUCCCAAAGUCAAGAGGCAAAUAAUAUUGGGGGAGCAAUCGUGAUCAAUGAUUGGUAUUCCUGUAAAUUUGUUGACACGCAACUACACGAAAUUUGUUUUUUUUUUGUUUUUGUUUUUGUUUUUGUUUUUUUAUAAAAGGAGGGAAAUCCAUUUAGAAGUGGUCCAUCCAAACAAGGUCCUUAUUAGUUUGUGAAAGACUACAUUCCUAUAAAGUGAGAUAAACACUCCAAGAGGAAGUUAGGUCUAUCAUUUUCCUUGUAUCUGGUAGAAAUCCAAGUAGAACAACCACUUAAAAGCCAAAAAUUAUAGAAUUGCACACGGUAAGACUACUAAUUUUUUAUACAAAAAUGUCACAAUCAUCACACGAGCAAUCCAGUAGUCAAAGGUCUCUUGUUUUUCUACAUAGAGCUUAAAAAAUUUCUUUUAGACUUUGAGUGCAGUCAUUGCCACACAUCUCUACAUGUGAUUGCUAAGGUGGUUGUGACCAGUGUUAUAGAGAGCACCAAACUGGUUAAACUCAAACUAUCUACAAAAGCCUUGGCAGAUCUCAUCCAAAGCAAAAAAUAGAAGCCUUGGUAAAUAUGAUCCAAAGUAAGAAUCAUAUUUAGUUUAAAUGAAUCAAAACCAACAUUUAACUUUUUUUUGCCGGUUGGAACAAUCAUUUGUUGGCUGAUUGGACUCGCCAAACAACAUUUGGCAACUCUUUUGUAAUAGGGAAAGUGUACAAUGAGACCAUAUAUAUUUAGUACAAGGUGAUCACAAUUAAUCAUGACCAUUGGAUGUGAAAUUGGGUGGUUGUAUUUAUUUAAUUGACCAAACUCAAAGUUCAAAAUAAAAUUUUUCGAACUUUGUGGCACACCCAUGCUAUCAAAUUUCACAUCAAAUGGUAGUAAGUAAUUGUGACCUUCAUGUACCAAUAACAAAUGGUCUCAUUGUAUACAAUCUCAUUGCAAUAUAUCCUAUAAAUAAAUAUCCCAUAGUUAUUUAAAUGUUCAAUCAAACUAGUUUGAUUAACAUUCGGAUCGGUUUUGAUUGGACCAAACCCUAAUUUCAGCAUAUAGUUAGAUUCUGCUUUUUUUUAAUAAAAAUAGAUUGUCUUAUUAUGUAUUAUGUUUUAUAAAAUAUAAACAAUGCCGACAAUCACGUCGAAUGAUGGGCAUUUUUGUAAUUUUGUCCCCCGCACACUUGUUUUCUAAGAAAAUGAGGAAAGUACCUUUGCAAGAGUGGCUUGUAUUUGUGUGAAGAGUUCGGCAUCUGUGGGGUCAUGAAACUCAAUCUGUGGACGCAAGAAGCCUUUCAAAACAGUAGGAGCAUCCUCUCUAUCUGACCUGACAAAUUCCGAAAAUACCCUUAAGGAUUCCUCCAUUAUCUCAACUAACCUUGUUGAUGUGAUCUUGUUUUCAUUGCUUGUUCUCUCUCUCUCUUGGGAUUCACCCUCUGCAAAAUCCAUCACACACAAUCCACAUGUUGUUUAUUAAACCAAUUCAUGAUUCACAAUGAAAAAAGUUAGGAAGUUAUUUGCAUUUAGAAAUAAAACUUUGAUGGGGUUAAAAGAUACAAAAUACAGAUUAGAGACUUCGAAUGAAGGCCUUCUCAAUCAUAAUUUCUAAACAAAUGGAAAAGGGAUAUAAACUGGGGAGGUUGGGAAAAUUAAAAAAUAAAAGAAUAAUCUUGGAAAUUUUGGAGUAUCUUUUAUUAAUUUAAAAUGAUAUGUAUUUAGUCUUAGAUAACCUAACCAACCAAACAAGAAAGAAGACAAAAUAAGGUGGUAUUCUUAGUUAUCAAAUCAAGGAAAAAUGUUCUACUGGGCCAUGGCCUAAACAUUGCCUUAGGGGGAUUUGUUUAGCCCCAAAUUUAUCUCUAAUAUUUGAUCAAAUAAAAUGAUGAGAAAGUUAUAAAUAAGAGAUUUGAUCCAAUGCAACGGUUGAUGAGAAAGUUAUAAAUAAGAGCAAUGAUCCAAUGCAACGAUUGUAUCAUAGUAUAAUGCAACGACACUUCUAGAAAACCAUGUUUGUGGUUUUUGUAUGACCCCAAAUUUUACACAUACACUCUCUUCAUCUCAAUAAUCAACCCCCCAANNNNNNNNNNNNNNNNNNNNNNNNNNNNNNNNNNNNNNNNNNNNNNNNNNNNNNNNNNNNNNNNNNNNNNNNNNNNNNNNNNNNNNNNNNNNNNNNNNNNNNNNNNNNNNNNNNNNNNNNNNNNNNNNNNNNNNNNNNNNNNNNNNNNNNNNNNNNNNNNNNNNNNNNNNNNNNNNNNNNNNNNNNNNNNNNNNNNNNNNNNNNNNNNNNNNNNNNNNNNNNNNNNNNNNNNNNNNNNNNNNNNNNNNNNNNNNNNNNNNNNNNNNNNNNNNNNNNNNNNNNNNNNNNNNNNNNNNNNNNNNNNNNNNNNNNNNNNNNNNNNNNNNNNNNNNNNNNNNNNNNNNNNNNNNNNNNNNNNNNNNNNNNNNNNNNNNNNNNNNNNNNNNNNNNNNNNNNNNNNNNNNNNNNNNNNNNNNNNNNNNNNNNNNNNNNNNNNNNNNNNNNNNNNNNNNNNNNNNNNNNNNNNNNNNNNNNNNNNNNNNNNNNNNNNNNNNNNNNNNNNNNNNNNNNNNNNNNNNNNNNNNNNNNNNNNNNNNNNNNNNNNNNNNNNNNNNNNNNNNNNNNNNNNNNNNNNNNNNNNNNNNNNNNNNNNNNNNNNNNNNNNNNNNNNNNNNNNNNNNNNNNNNNNNNNNNNNNNNNNNNNNNNNNNNNNNNNNNNNNNNNNNNNNNNNNNNNNNNNNNNNNNNNNNNNNNNNNNNNNNNNNNNNNNNNNNNNNNNNNNNNNNNNNNNNNNNNNNNNNNNNNNNNNNNNNNNNNNNNNNNNNNNNNNNNNNNNNNNNNNNNNNNNNNNNNNNNNNNNNNNNNNNNNNNNNNNNNNNNNNNNNNNNNNNNNNNNNNNNNNNNNNNNNNNNNNNNNNNNNNNNNNNNNNNNNNNNNNNNNNNNNNNNNNNNNNNNNNNNNNNNNNNNNNNNNNNNNNNNNNNNNNNNNNNNNNNNNNNNNNNNNNNNNNNNNNNNNNNNNNNNNNNNNNNNNNNNNNNNNNNNNNNNNNNNNNNNNNNNNNNNNNNNNNNNNNNNNNNNNNNNNNNNNNNNNNNNNNNNNNNNNNNNNNNNNNNNNNNNNNNNNNNNNNNNNNNNNNNNNNNNNNNNNNNNNNNNNNNNNNNNNNNNNNNNNNNNNNNNNNNNNNNNNNNNNNNNNNNNNNNNNNNNNNNNNNNNNNNNNNNNNNNNNNNNNNNNNNNNNNNNNNNNNNNNNNNNNNNNNNNNNNNNNNNNNNNNNNNNNNNNNNNNNNNNNNNNNNNNNNNNNNNNNNNNNNNNNNNNNNNNNNNNNNNNNNNNNNNNNNNNNNNNNNNNNNNNNNNNNNNNNNNNNNNNNNNNNNNNNNNNNNNNNNNNNNNNNNNNNNNNNNNNNNNNNNNNNNNNNNNNNNNNNNNNNNNNNNNNNNNNNNNNNNNNNNNNNNNNNNNNNNNNNNNNNNNNNNNNNNNNNNNNNNNNNNNNNNNNNNNNNNNNNNNNNNNNNNNNNNNNNNNNNNNNNNNNNNNNNNNNNNNNNNNNNNNNNNNNNNNNNNNNNNNNNNNNNNNNNNNNNNNNNNNNNNNNNNNNNNNNNNNNNNNNNNNNNNNNNNNNNNNNNNNNNNNNNNNNNNNNNNNNNNNNNNNNNNNNNNNNNNNNNNNNNNNNNNNNNNNNNNNNNNNNNNNNNNNNNNNNNNNNNNNNNNNNNNNNNNNNNNNNNNNNNNNNNNNNNNNNNNNNNNNNNNNNNNNNNNNNNNNNNNNNNNNNNNNNNNNNNNNNNNNNNNNNNNNNNNNNNNNNNNNNNNNNNNNNNNNNNNNNNNNNNNNUAAGAUGGUUUUUUAAGGUUGUUGCAUCAUAUUAUUAUACAACGGUUGCAUGAAAUCAUUGCUCUAUAAAUAAACCUAUUUAACAUUUUUACAUGUUCUUUUGUUUGGUCUCAAAAAGCCCAUCUAAAUACAUAGGAUCAAGACUAAGAAUAGUUAAAAAUGGGUAAAAUACAAAGCAUAUAUUUUGAUUAAUUUUGCUCAAGUGAAAUGCUCCAAAGCAAACUAUGCUCGAAAACAGCAGUGGACCGUGCAGUUGUUAAAUAAUCAAAGCUUAAAUUCAUGUUGUUUUUCUUUUAGAGUUGGUCACAAAAUAAAUAAAAACUAAGAUUUAAAAACCUUCAAGUCAUAAAAAUCCCCCACCUUGGUUCUUUGGUCUACAAAAUGUUCUACCCCACUAAAAAGAACGAAAAACAAAACAAAAAGAACAAAAAAAAGAAAAUAAAAUGGAUCCAAUGGACGCUUUCUCCAUAAAUCAAUGUUAGUGUUGUUAUUUUACCCAGAAUGAAAUUCAAUAAAGUGGAGCACUCACCAAAUAAAAAUAACAUUAAUAAUAAUGAUAAUAAUAAUAACAGCAAUAAUGGCCCUCUCCAUGCAUACGUACAAAACACUAUUUUCCUAUGAAAGGCUAUUUUUUCAAACAUCUUGGUGAAAGUUAGGUAAUUUAAAUAAUUUCCCGACAUUGAUAAUGAGCAUAAGUGGUGUGUAUGGAGAGAGACAGAACUUACUCAUAUGAAAAGCAUAAACUUUGGAUGUAUGGUAUAGAUGCCAAUCCAAUUAUGUUUAUGGAAAAUACACUCUUUAAAAAUUGUUGACAUGACUUGAGGCCUUUGUCAUAUUGGAUUUGGGAGCUAAGUAAAUUCCAUUCUUUCUAAUCCCGAUCUCUUAUUCUUCAUAAUUUUUAAAUUUUACCAUCAUCAGAUGAGGUUUACCCAAUUUAUAUAAAGGUCUGUUUGUAAAUUAAAAAUUUAUUCUCAUUAAAAUCCCGAGUCUCUUUUUCUUCAUAAAUUUUAAAUUUUUUCAUCAUCAUCCAAGCCCUGACUAUAUAAAGUCGACUGGUUGUAAAUUUAAAAUUUACUCUCAUUAAAAAUGUCCGCUCCAACCUUCCAACAUAAUUGUACAAAAAAUAGAAACAUUGUUAGUUUUUUGGGUACCCUUUCAAUAAAAAGGAAGAAAACAAUUUCUAAAAAGAUAAAUGAUUUUGUUUCUUUUAGCUUUGAAUAAGCAAACUAUGCUCAAACGUAAUUGGAAGUUUUUU